rnacentral:lncRNA from 1 species
AAAUAACUUACUUUUGUCUAACGAGACCGCUUCUUCUCUACACAGAUGUUGAUAUCUAAAUUCCUUUUUUUUUUGGCAUUGUUCUGGUUAUGAACCCUCAUUGACCUCUGCAACCACCUUGCACUAGCAGUUCCAAAAGUGUAUGAUUUGUUAAGUUUGUAACUUUGUAGACUCCAUUGUUGCAGACAGAAAAUGCAGAAUUUUCCGAGUUUUUUCUCUUCUUCUUAUAUGCAAAAUGUUUACUAAUAGUCUCUCCACAAUAACAGUUUACAUCUCUAAAGAAAUGAAAACAGUUAGAAUUUGUUAAGAUGAUAUGCCUGAGGUAUACUCUAGAUAUAUACUUCAUUGCAUUGUGGCAAUCCCCACAGACACAGACACGGAGGUUCUUGGUGAUCCGAAUCGGAGCUCCAGAUGGUUCAGCAAGUAGACCAAACGCUACAGCUAGUUUCUCACUAUGGUAAGCUAAACCAAAAGCUCCUUUGCCUUCCUUAUCCAAGUCAUGGAGUGCAAAACUCAUAUCCGUAAAUAACCAGCUAGUUUAUCACUAUGGUAAGCUAAACCAAAAGCUCCUUAGCAUACGUAUCCACAAGAGCGUUAUUCACCAGCUUGUAAGUUCCAUAUCUAGUUUUCACUAUCAGACAAUGCACAAAAGAAGCUAUAUUCGUUUCUGUUCUAGACGAAGCGAAACAGUUUAAAAUGGAUGGGAUUGUGAAAUCAUCUAUCUUCAUGUCUCGCCUAUGCAUUCUUCCGAACAAGGAUAGAGCUUCUUCUUUAAGACCUUCUCUAACACACUCAACAACCAUCGAGUUCCAAGAAAUCCACAUCAUCAAUUUCUCUUUACUACAAAUUAUCACCAUCUAUAAUAUUGAAAAAUUAUUCUAGCUUUGAUUACGAUCGACAUAUCUGACUUGUAUGGCAUAUAUGCUGAAAUUUACAGUUUAUAGUUCAUGCCUUUUUUAUCCAUUUACGGUUAAUUCCGACAAUUUUAGAAAGAAUGCCCUUAAUGAUAUAUUAGAUUACCACAUUACUCGAUUUGUGUUUGAAUAUUUUUUUAAUUGUUGGACUUAGAUCAAAAUUAGUUAAAUAGUUACAACUUUAUUUUAAAGAUUAUGAUGUCCACUAGCUGAAAUCAGAAUUCACAUUCUAAGAAAAUUGCAAUUUAUUUUUUAUCAUGUUUUUAUUUAAUUUAUUUGAUAAUAGUUUAUUAAUAACAAAUGAAAAUUAAGUUUUACAAAUAAAUGUGCAGAGGCACACUGUGCCUGCUAAGCACUUGCCAUAUCCAUUAUACUUGAAUGUACACUGAUCAUCACAUUGUUUAGCUUGGCAAAUUUCUGUUCCUCUUAUAUAAUCACGACAAGAUUCUUGUUCUUGCGACUCCAUCACCAUCCCUAAAAAUAAAUAUUGAAAACAUCUAUUAGCAUCAUUUUUAUUUUUUAUAUGUUAAAAAGGUUAUGAAGAAAUGAAACACAAUGAAAUCAAAGAUAAAACAUAGAAAUAAUAAAUAUCUUUAAUAUAGUUAAGUGUAAAACAAACCUAAAACAAGAACAACCAUAAAAAUAGCAAGAAUUGUGGUUUUAGCCAUUUUUGAUGAUGCAACAAAAAGUGAAAACUUUAAAGUAAAAAACAGUGAUGAGAUUGUAUUGCAUCCGUGAAUAUCUUAUAUAUAACAAAUUAGAUGUGUAGAUAUUUUUCAAAAGUACCACAAAUUGAAAAAAUAAAAAUAAAUUGAGAGUCAACUUAUAAUAAAUAAGAUGAAUCAUGCAAACAAAUCGUGGAAAACAAAUAGAAAAAAUAUUUUGAAAUUAAUUAAAACCAACAGAUCUCCUAUAUAUUAAAAGAUGAUUAUUGUCAUUUAAUGUUUUCACACUACAUUAACCACGUGGUAACUUACAUCGAUUUCAAUUUCAAUUUUUAAAUAUCAUUUAAAUUAAAUUUUUUUAUUUAUGUACAUGGUGCAGGAAAAUAUCUAGUAUUAGUGAAAAAACUAGUUGAAAUUAUUAAUACAUGUUCCAGGUAUGUUUAACAAGUAUAAGUUUCAUUACAAAAUCAUUGUAAUCCAGGAGGUAGUCUUUUUUUUUGAACUAUCAAUUCAUUGAAAGAGAAAGCCUUAAGGAGGCAUAGAAGAGUUCAAACCAUACAUAGCAGAUUUAGCUAAUGAAUCAGCUAUGCAAUUGAGGCUCCUAAAAACAUAAGAGAAAUUCAGCAAUACGAAGAAGUUAGAUUCUCGAUAUCCAAGUUGAUUCUGUAAAGGUAUACUGGACUUUGAUUUGAGAUUAAUGCGUUGAUGAGCACUUGAUUAUCUGAUUUUAGGCAGAUUUUGGAGAGUUGACGUGAUUUAGCAUGCAAGAGAGUUUCCUGGACUGCUGGACAGCAAUAGCUUCCGCCAUUAGAGGUGACGGCCCAUGAGCUUCAGUCGAUGAUCCUUGUUCUUGUAUACAUGUGUAAGGAUCCAUGUAGUGCCAACCACAGCCUGCUAGCUUAUAUAUCCCCAAAUCGCCAAGCCGCAUCUGUAAACAAAGUAACUGCAUCAUUCAAGUCCUGGUAAUUGGCUCGACUGUGUCAUGUGGAGCUAGCAGUUGAGUUUUCUGUGGUUGUGCGUCCUGCCAUUCUCGAGCUUGGCCGAUGGCUUUAACGAUUAUGUCCGAUGGGGAGAGAUCCCGGUUCUCAAAAACCAACGAGUUUCUUGCUGUCCAAACGCACCAGCAUACCCAAGCAAAAUGAUUCACAGAGACACCAGUAGGGGAGAGGCAGAUGAGGUUCGAUGAACCCUUCAGGGCUUGUUCAAAAGAUGAUACCGCUAAUGGUAGUCUAAUGGUUGUGUAAAGAGUUGUUUUUUGAUAAUCUAAACUAAUAUUAGCAAGAUUAUUUUUUAAAUAAGAAAGCUCACUUUUUUUAACCAACAAAAAAUUUAGUAAGCUCACUUCGGACUUAUGAGAAAUUAUGGAUCUAAGAUCCGAAACUUCCAUAGUAAUAAAAAUCAUCGUAAUUUAGAUUUUUAUUAGUGCCAUGCAUACAGUCUGCGGCAAAAUAAUUUUCCCAAGGACAGUGCUAUUGGAUCAUCCAAACUUGUAUAACAUUGAAUCUCUAUAUUCAUAGUGACAUUGCAAUUUUAUUGCUUGUAUUGAUUAUGAUGGACACAUCUGAAUAUGGCACAUAUGCUAAAAUUUGCAGUCUAUAGUUCAUAUUAUGAUGUUAAAUAACUGAAAUUAGAACUCACAUUUGCAUAAAAUUUGCAUUAUAAUUUUUCAGUCCAUUUUAUUAAAAGAGUAGUAUAUUUUAUGAUAACAUAAAUAACAAAUAUAAACUAAGUUUUACAUUUGAAAGUGCAGCCGCAGAUUUUGGUUCCAUUAAAACACUUGCCAGAUCCUUUCCACUUGUCAGUACACCGAUCAGCACAAUGUUUAGGAUCACAAAUUCCUGAUUCAACAAAAUAUUCAUGACACAAUUCUUGUCCUUGUGACUCCAUCGUCACCGUUCCUAAAUAAGUAUUUAAAUAUAUAUAUUAGUAUCAUUUCCAUUAUUUUGUUAUAAAUCAGAAAGGUUAUAAACAAAUAAACAUUACGAAGCAAAGGAGAAAAUAUAAAAAUACUGAAGUGUAGAACAAACCUAAAACAAGAACAAUCAUGAAAAUAGCAAGAAUAGUUGGCUUAGCCAUUUCAAAUGAUACAACAAGAAUGAAAAAAAAUAAAGAACUGAUGUAGUUGCUUUGUAUUCGUAAAUAUCUUAGACAUAACAAAUAAGAUGUAUAAAUAUAUAUACAAAGUACCGCAAAUAUUACAAGUAGAAAAAGGAGAAUCAACGUUUUUGGUUUUAAUUAAUUAGAGUCAACUUGUAAUUAAUUAGAUACAUGAAACAAAAAAAAAGUCAUAACCUAGUAAGGAAAAAUAUCUUGAAUUAACUAAAAAUAAAAUAAAUAAGAACUUAAUAAAACAUACUCUUUUCGUUUUAUAUUAAGUGUUGUUUUAAUUUUGAAAUUUUAUUUCAUUAUACGUGUUGUUUUAUAUUUUCAAUAUAUAUUAAAUAAAAAUUUCAGCUUUAUCUUUAUUUUAAUCUAUUAAUUAAAAAAUCAAAUAUAUAUAUAUAUAUAUAUAUUAAAUGAGGUAAUUUUUUUAGACGACACUAAUAUUAAACAGAUGGAGUAAUUAAUUGUAUUUUAUUAAUAACAUGCAUUAAACAGAUUUUGAAAAUUCUUUGAAGUAUAAAACAGGAAAGAUAUUAAAGUUUUAAUAAUGAAAAAUUUAAAUGAUAACUGAUAUUGUUAGAAUUUUAUUUAUUAAAUGUGAAAAUAUGCAUGUUAAUAUAGUCAUUCACAACUGAUUUUAAAUUAAAAUAGAAUUUUUAAAUUAAAAAAAUAUAAUAUCAAAGUAUUGAUACUUGAUAGUGUUUUUAACCAAAAAAAGAAGAAAAGAUUGUUGAUUUAACUAGGAUGGUUUAAGAAUAAGGUGCACAGUCCGUACUUGAGGGCAUUAAUAUAGUUCUUAAAUUUAUAGUUACAUUUUUAUAAUUUAUAUUAUCUCAUGUACACAUAUCGUUUUAUAUAACUAUUAUUAAUGCUCCGUUAAUUAAUUAUACACUAGAGUCUAAACCCGCACAUCCAUGCGGAUAUAUAUAUUUUUAUAAAUAUAUAACUUUGAUAUUAUUCUAAAUAUCAUAAAAUAUAUAUGAUUUAGAUUUUAGUGUUAUAUAUUUUGUAACUCUAUAAUCUUAUUGUUUAGAUUUCUUAUUUGAAAAACAUAGAAAGAAAUCAAGAGUAAACUUAUAAUAAAGAAGAUGAUUCAUACAAACAAAUCAUGAAAAACAAAUAGGAAAAAUAUCUUGAAAUUAAUUAAAACUGAUAGAUUUUAUAGUAAGGUAAGUCAAUAUGUAUUCAUUAUCAGUUGAAUUUAAAUUCUAAUUUCCAAGUUUAAUAGUAUAAAAGAUUCGAUUGUUCGUUUAAAUAGGAUGCUCUAGAUAGAAAUAACCAAUUUGUUAAACUAUAUAAAUUAAUAGAAGUUUGACUAAAAAGAAUGUCUUUAUUUUUAUAUUUUUUGCCUUCAAUACACAUAUUUUUAUGUCAGUUACUGUGAUAAUUUUAGCCAUUCUCCAUUUAAAAUGAAAAGCAUCUAAUUUGAAAAUGAAUUUAUUCAAAAACCAAGUUAGAAUUUGAAUCAAAACUUUCUAUCUAUUAUGUGAGAAUCAUUUUAAUUACACAACCUUACUAUCAUAUUACCAAGCUAAGGUGUCAUAAUAAUAAAACUUACCCUUACUGACUGACAAGCACACGAUAUUUCAAAAUAUAAUAUAUUUUCUAGAGAAAUUCCUAGUAUUGCCAUUAAGAAUAUUAUAUUCUACAACCCAAUAACAUAUAUUAUACCCUCAGUUCAAAGCUACGCUAAACGUUAUAUGUGCGGCCGGAUAGGACCUAGCGCGUAAUCAAUUAAUCAGAGAUUUAUGGAGAUUAAUCGAAGAGUUAUUUUAGGGUUUCUAAAUAAAUAUAUGAUUAUAUAUUAAAUAAGUUUAAGUAUCAUGUCUUUGAUGCAUUGUGUAGUGGUCUUUGUUGAGCUUAAUUAGCCUGCCCAACACGGAUUUGACUGUCACGUUGAACAUUUUGGACAAUAAUUUUAGAAUUAGGUUAAAUGAAAUGGUAAUUGACAAAAUUGCCCUCGUCUUCCACCUUCUUCAUGCAAAAUCUGCAGCUGUUUUGUAAUUAUUAUUUUUUGCGAUUUCAGUCUUUUUCAUAUUAAUUUUGUAAGUUUUGGUCUAAAUAAUACAAAAAAACUAUAACUUAGAAUGUGAUAUCAAAUUUAAAAUCUAUAAAGCAAUGAACUUAUAAAUUUUGGUGAUUAACUGAGCAAAUAGUAUCAAAUCGCGGUGGUGACCAGCUGACUUAUGGUUUUCCGGCGAGUACGCGGCCGUGCAGAACACGUUUUUAGAACAAUGGAUUAUACCAAACUGUGAUGAUAUUAGUUUCAUUUAACCGUUGAUUUUAAAUUAAAAUUCCUAAAUUUUAUAGAUAUAACAUAAAAGUUGGAAAAUAAAAUUAACAAAAAAAGAAAAGAUUGUUGAUUUAACUAGGAUGGUUCAAGAACGAGGUUGUUUGAUCUACACUGCUUUACUUCUCUAGCACACUUAACAACCAUCGAAUUCCAAGAAACCACAUCACCAACUUCCAUAUCUUGUAACAUAGUACUUGCAGUUUUAAAGUAUAUGCAUUUAGCAUACAUAGCAAUCACUGCAGUUUGAACAAAUAUAUUGGUCUUAUAAACCACUCUUAAUUAUGAAGCCAUACGUAAGUUUCUGGAAUUCAACAUGUGCAUCACUCUCUAUUGAGCCAAUAACUUAAUAACGCAUAAGAUAAUUUUAAUUGAUAUUAGAUAUUUUAUACAAAUUAAUUGGUAUUAGAUAUUUUUAUGAAUUUUGUACUACACUUUUACAUUUUCAUCAUCUAUAAUAUUGAAAAAGUUAUUUUUUUUAUUAUGAUCGACAUAUCUGACUUAUAUAUAUGGCAUAUAUGCUGAAAUUUGCGGUUUAUAAUUCCCGUCUUUUUUGAUGCAUCUAGCGGUUGAUUCUGACGAUCCUAAAAAGAAUGCAUUUAAAGCUAUAUUAGAUUAUCAUAUUAAUAGAUUCGGGUUUGAAAUACUUUUUGACUAAUAUUUAGGGUAGCUAGACGUCGGUUACCGGACUAACGUGCUAACUGUCGGGACUUAGAUCCAAACUGGUUAAACAGCAAAAAAAAUAAUUUAAAGAGUCUGAAAAACUAAUUUACGUCAUGUUGUGCUUCAAAUAUGACAUUGCCACUAACAUACCAUUAGUUACUAGUUGUGUAUGAUUCAUGUUUUGUUAUGAUGUCCAAUAGCUGAAAUCAGAAUUCACGUUCUAAGAAAAUUGCGAUAUUCUUUUUCACACAUUUUUAUUUAAAAAUAUUUGAUGAUAGUUUAUUAGUAACAAAUAAAAAUUAAGUUUUACAAAUAUAAGUGCAGACGCACAUUGUGUCUAAGCACCUGCCAUGUCCAUUAUACUUGCGUACACACUGAUCAUUACAUGGUUUAGCUUCGCAAAGUGCUGAUCCUUUAGAAUAAUCAGUACACAUUUCUUGUCCUUGUGACUCCAUCACCGUCCCUAAAAAUAAACAUUGAAAACAUGUAUUACCAUCAUCUUUAUUUUGUUAUAUGUAAAAGGUCAUGAAGAAAUUAAACAUUAUCAAAUCAAAGAUAAAACAUAGAAAUAAUAUUUACUAUAGUUAAGUGUAAAACAAACCUAAAACAAGAACAACCAUGAAAAUAGCAAGAAUUGUGGUUUUAGCCAUUUUUGAUGAUGCAACAAAAAGCGAAAAAUUUAAAAUAAAGAACAGUGAUGAGGUUGUAUUGCAUCCAUGAAUAUCUUAUAUAUAACAAAUUAGAUUUGUAGAUAUUUUUCAAAAGUACCACAAAUUGAAAAACAUAGAAAGAAAUCAAGAGUAAACUUAUAAUAAAGAAGAUGACUCAUACAAACAAAUCAUGAAAAACAAAUAGGAAAAAUAUCUUGAAAUUAAUUAAAACUGAUAGAUUUUAUAGUAAGGUAAGUCAAUAUGUAUUCAUUAUCAGUUGAAUUUAAAUUCUAAUUUCCAAGUUUAAUAGUAUAAAAGAUUCGAUUGUUGGUUUAAAUAGGAUGCUCUAGAUAGAAAUAACCAAUUUGUUAAACUAUAUAAAUUAAUAGAAGUUUGACUAAAAAGAAUAUCUUUAUUGUUAUAUUUUUGAUUGUCUUCUAUACACAUAUUUUUAUGUCAGUUACUGUGAUAAUUUUAGCCAUUCUCCAUUUAAAAUGAAAAGCAUCUAAUUUGAAAACUAAUUUAUUCAACAACCAAGUUAGAAUUUGAAUCAAAACUUUCUAUCUAUUUUGUGAGAAUCAAUUUAAUUACACAACCUUACUAGCAUAUUACCAAGCUAAGGUGUCAUAAUAAUAAAACUUACCCUUACUGAUUGACGUGGCACUAGCAACGAUUUUUCAAAAUAUAAUAUAUUUUCUAGAGAAAUUCCAAGUAUUGCGAUUAAGAAUAUUAUAUUCUACAAUCCAAUAACAUAUAUUAUACUCUCAGUUCGAAACUACACCAGGCGUUAUGUGUGCGGCUGGGUAGGACCUAGCGCGUAAUCAAUUAAUCAGAGAUUAUACGGAGAUUAAUUGGAGUUAUUUUAGGAUUUCUAAAUAAGUAUAUGAUUAUAUAUUAAAUAAGAUUAAGUAUCACAUCUUGGAUCCGUGGUGUAGUAGCCUUUGUUGAGCUUAAUUAGCCUACCCAACACGGUCACAUUGAACAUUUUGGACAAUAUUUUUUAGAAUUAUAUUAAAUAAAAUGGUAAUUGACAAAAUUACCCUCGUCUUCCACCUUCUUCAUGCGAAACCUGUAGCUGUUUUCUAUUAUUUUUUUUUUUUUUAGUUUCAGUCUAUUUCGUAUUAAUUUCGUAAGUUUUGGUUUAAAUAAUACAAAUCGUAACUUAGAAUGUGAUAUCAAAUUUAAAAUCUAUAAAGCAAUGAACUUAUAAAUUUUGGUGAUUAACUGAGCAAAUAGUAUCAAAUCGCGGUGGUGACCAGCUGACUUACGGUUUUCCAGCGAGUACGCGGCCGUGCAGAACACGUUUUUAGAACAAUGGAUUAUACCAAACUGUGAUGAUAUUAGUUUCAUUUAACCGUUGAUUUUAAAUUAAAAUUCCUAAAUUUUAUAGAUAUAACAUAAAAGUUGGAAAAUAAAAUUAACAAAAAAAGAAAAGAUUGUUGAUUUAACUAGGAUGGUUCAAGAACGAGGUUGUUUGAUCUACACUGCUUUACUUCUCUAGCACACUUAACAACCAUCGAAUUCCAAGAAACCACAUCACCAACUUCCAUAUCUUGUAACAUAGUACUUGCAGUUUUAAAGUAUAUGCAUUUAGCAUACAUAGCAAUCACUGCAGUUUGAACAAAUAUAUUGGCCUUAUAAACCACUCUUAAUUAUGAAGCCAUACGUAAGUUUCUGGAAUUCAACAUGUGCAUCACUCUCUAUUGAGCCAAUAACUUAAUAACGCAUAAGAUAAUUUUAAUUAUACAAAUUAAUUGGUAUUAGAUAUUUUUAUGAAUUUUGUACUACACUUUUACAUUUUCAUCAUCUAUAAUAUUGAAAAAGUUAUUUUUUUUAUUAUGAUCGACAUAUCUGACUUAUAUAUAUGGCAUAUAUGCUGAAAUUUGCGGUUUAUAAUUCCCGUCUUUUUUGAUGCAUCUAGCGGUUGAUUCUGACGAUCCUAAAAAGAAUGCAUUUAAAGCUAUAUUAGAUUAUCAUAUUAAUAGAUUCGGGUUUGAAAUACUUUUUGACUAAUAUUUAGGGUAGCUAGACGUCGGUUACCGGACUAACGUGCUAACUGUCGGGACUUAGAUCCAAACUGGUUAAACAGCAAAAAAAAUAAUUUAAAGAGUCUGAAAAACUAAUUUACGUCAUGUUGUGCUUCAAAUAUGACAUUGCCACUAACAUACCAUUAGUUACUAGUUGUGUAUGAUUCAUGUUUUGUUAUGAUGUCCAAUAGCUGAAAUCAGAAUUCACGUUCUAAGAAAAUUGCGAUAUUCUUUUUCACACAUUUUUAUUUAAAAAUAUUUGAUGAUAGUUUAUUAGUAACAAAUAAAAAUUAAGUUUUACAAAUAUAAGUGCAGACGCACAUUGUGUCUAAGCACCUGCCAUGUCCAUUAUACUUGCGUACACACUGAUCAUUACAUGGUUUAGCUUCGCAAAGUGCUGAUCCUUUAGAAUAAUCAGUACACAUUUCUUGUCCUUGUGACUCCAUCACCGUCCCUAAAAAUAAACAUUGAAAACAUGUAUUACCAUCAUCUUUAUUUUGUUAUAUGUAAAAAGGUCAUGAAGAAAUUAAACAUUAUCAAAUCAAAGAUAAAACAUAGAAAUAAUAUUUACUAUAGUUAAGUGUAAAACAAACCUAAAACAAGAACAACCAUGAAAAUAGCAAGAAUUGUGGUUUUAGCCAUUUUUGAUGAUGCAACAAAAAGCGAAAAAUUUAAAAUAAAGAACAGUGAUGAGGUUGUAUUGCAUCCAUGAAUAUCUUAUAUAUAACAAAUUAGAUUUGUAGAUAUUUUUCAAAAGUACCACAAAUUGAAAAACAUAGAAAGAAAUCAAGAGUAAACUUAUAAUAAAGAAGAUGACUCAUACAAACAAAUCAUGAAAAACAAAUAGGAAAAAUAUCUUGAAAUUAAUUAAAACUGAUAGAUUUUAUAGUAAGGUAAGUCAAUAUGUAUUCAUUAUCAGUUGAAUUUAAAUUCUAAUUUCCAAGUUUAAUAGUAUAAAAGAUUCGAUUGUUGGUUUAAAUAGGAUGCUCUAGAUAGAAAUAACCAAUUUGUUAAACUAUAUAAAUUAAUAGACGUUUGACUAAAAAGAAUAUCUUUAUUGUUAUAUUUUUGAUUGUCUUCUAUACACAUACUUUUAUGUCAGUUUCUGUGAUAAUUUUAGCCAUUCUCCAUUUAAAAUGAAAAGCAUCUAAUUUGAAAACUAAUUUAUUCAACAACCAAGUUAGAAUUUGAAUCAAAACUUUCUAUCUAUUUUGUGAGAAUCAAUUUAAUUACACAACCUUACUAGCAUAUUACCAAGCUAAGGUGUCAUAAUAAUAAAACUUACCCUUACUGAUUGACGUGGCACUAGCAACGAUUUUUCAAAAUAUAAUAUAUUUUAUAGAGAAAUUCCUAGUAUUGCGAUUAAGAAUAUUAUAUUCUACAACCCAAUAACAUAUAUUAUACUCUCAGUUCGAAACUACACCAGGCGUUAUGUGUGCGGCUGGGUAGGACCUAGCGCGUAAUCAAUUAAUCAGAGAUUAUACGGAGAUUAAUUGGAGUUAUUUUAGGGUUUCUAAAUAAGUAUAUGAUUAUAUAUUAAAUAAGAUUAAGUAUCACGUCUUGGAUCCAUGGUGUAGUGGCCUUUGUUGAGCUUAAUUAGCCUACCCAACACGGUCACAUUGAACAUUUUGGACAAUAUUUUAGAAUUAUGUUAAAUAAAAUGGUAAUUGACAAAAUUGCCCUCGUUUUCCACCUUCUUCAUGCGAAACCUGUAGCUGUUUUCUAUUUUUUUUUUUUUUGAGUUUCAGUCUUUUUCGUAUUAAUUUUGUAAGUUUUGGUUUAAAUAAUACAAAUCGUAACUUAGAAUGUGAUAUCAAGUUUAAAAUCUAUAAAGCAAUGAACUUAUAAAUUUUGGUGAUUAACUGAGCAAAUAGUAUCAAAUCGCGGUGGUGACCAGCUGACUCACGGUUUUCCGGCGAGUAUGCGGCCGCGGAGAACGCAUUUUAGAACAUGGAUUAUACUAAACUCUGGUUAUAUUAGUUUCAUUUGACCGUUGAUUUUAAAUUAAAGUUCCUAAAUUUUACAGAUAUAACAUAAAAGUUGAAAAAAAAAAUUAAAAAAAAAAAUAAAAGAUUGUUGAUUUAACUAGGAUCGUUCAAGAACGAGGUUGUUUGAUCUACACUGCUUUACUUAUAAACCUAAGUUAAGAUCCACACCUUGCGCGAGAUAAAUAUUAUUUAAAUUGUUUUUAUGUAUUAUAUAUUUUUACAUAUUAUAAAAUUAUAUAUAUAUAUAAUAUUAAAAAAUUCAAUACAUAUUGUGUUUAUUAUUAAAUUGAUGCAAACACAUAAAUAAAUUUUAUUAAUCUGAACAAUCACUUUUUUAUUUUAUAUGGUCUAUAAUUAAAUUUAAAUGAGAUUAACACAUAUAUAUAGUAUAUUGUUAAUAUUGAUAUUUAUUAAAUAAUUUUGUCUACUUAUACUGUUUUUUAAUCAUUUGUUUAAUAAUUUAUAAAUUAAAAAAAAUUCAAAGCAAAAUUUCAAAAUUAAAAUAUAUUAAUAUUUUAUAUGGUAUAGUUUAAUUUAAACUAUAUUAAUAUAUAUAUAUAAUCUUAAUAUUUAUUAAAUGAGAUUUCAUACUUAUAUGAUUUUGUAAUUAUUUGUAUCUUGUAAUAAUAAUUUUAAGUGAAACUUUUAAGAGUUUUAGUAAUUUAUAGUCAUUUUCAAAAAAACUAAAUAUAACAUAUACGGAAAAGUCUAAAUUUUAUUAUAUGGUUAAUGUGGUUUUUUAAUUUAUUUUAGUAAGUUAAAAUUGAAAAAAUGAUAGAGGAUACGUUAGUUUUUAUCAAAUCUUUGUUAUUCAAAAUCAUUAAUUGUCAUAUAUAUUUUUGCGACAUUAGAAAAUUCCUUAAUUUUUGUUUAUGGAAAAAGUGAAGAACAUUAAUAAUUAAUUUAUGGUUAGUUUAAUAAAAGGUUAUUAUAUAUGUAGAUGAAGCAACCUAAUUCUGUAUAGAUUCUAAGAGCAUCAUUAGUGGUUAGGUACUCUCUUAGGUCUCUCAUCAUUAAUUUUGUUAUUAAUUGAUUUUAAAAACAUUAAAUGACAAAAACAAAAAUGAACUAAUGAUAGAGUGACAACAAUUAAAAAAGUCUCUCCAACUUCACCGAUCGUUUCUUCUACAUGAAUCGUCUCUCUCUCUUUUCCUUACCUUUUCUAAUAUUGUCAUUAUUGUUAUUGUCAGAAACUGUCUAACAGCCCCUCACUGCGGCUCUAAGAAUCAUUGUGGUAAUGACAGAUAACUAUCCCAAAUACUGUAAUGUUUCUCUUUUAAUAUACAAGAGAUUUCUAAAAAAAUAUAUGUUUUUUAUGGUUUAUUUUGUUCUUUCAUUUCACAAAGAAAGGACAUGGAUUAAUCUUAUGACUCAUGUUCUUCAUCUGCUUCAGGACCUGCAUCAGAAGUUUCAUCUUCUGUGAGGUUUUGGUUUGGUUGGGUUUUGUCUUCCUCAGGUGUACGCAGUGGUGGACCCACGUUAAGAAUUAUGGAAUCAUCUGACACCCCAAAUAUAUUAUAAAUAUAAUUUGGCAAGCUAAAAUUGUUAUUUGACACUAGCGUAUUUGGUUAGGAAGUUUGGUACUGAACCCAUAAACCCGGGAUCAAAGCCCCUCAGUGACCCCUUUUCUUAAUAUUUUUGUUAUUUAAAAUUUUACCUAUACUAUGACUCCACAUAAAAAAAAUUCUGGGUUCGCUCCUGAAUGUACGUCGGUGGUUAACAGCGGUUUGGAGGACAUGAUUGUAGUUACCUUUCUCGAGAAAAAGCUGACUGAAAUGGACCUUACAAUAAAGGAUGCUAUUGAGUCUGUGUAUAUAAUAGAAAAGUUGACUAAACAUAGUUGACAUCGUCUAAAUCGAUGUGUAAAAUCUACAAAUUUUAAAAGUAUGUGUAUUUAAUAGAAAACAAAAAUUAGUUUGUGUAUUAAACGGGGAUCCAAAAAUAGUUCGUGUAUUUUAUUAGCAAAUAAAAAAUAGUUUUUGUAUUUUUUUUAAAAAAAGUUCAAAAUUUAAACAUGUUUUAGUUAAAUACUAACGCCGUCAUUACUGUCGUUAAACAUAGUUUAAGUUGUCUAAAACUACGUAUAAACCUGCGAAUUUCAAAAGUUUGUGUAUUUAAUAGGUAACGAAGUAUUAAACGAAAAUCAAAAAUAGUUCAUGUAUUUUAUUAACAAAUGAAAAUUAGUGUGUGUAUUUUUAAGAAAUUUUAGUAAAGAAAAGAUGAAGGGUCAUGUUUAUAAAUAACUGACAAAAGAGUGAGAAAGUCUGAAAAAAGAGGAAAAUCCAUUCGUCACUUUCUAUUUCCUGUAACUAACUUUCCCGAGAAAAUUUUCUGUUACUCUUCGCCGCUCGCGGUUUCUCUCCGUCGGUUUGUGAAUAAACAAAUCUGAACUCUCGAUUCGUUUCUUUCUCUGCUCCGUUCUCUGGCUGACCGGUUUGUAGUUUUAUUUGAACACUCCGAUCUCGCCCUGAGUUCCACGAUCAGCUUCUUAGAACCCUAGGGUUUGAACGAGCAAUUAGGUUUCUAGGUUCCGGCGGUUCUCAUUAUCCUUGUAGUGGCUUGAGUUUUUUGUAUAGAUUUCGAGAUCGAGAGAGAGAUUGUGAUGAAUAACAACAGAGGAAGAUAUCCUCCGGGGAAUGGAACGGGACGUGGAGCUCCGCCGCAUCCUGAUUAUCAAUCGUACGGUCAACAACCGCAGAACCACCAGCAGUUUCAGCAGUGGUCAAGACGCGCUCAGCUUCCUGGAAACGCCAAUGAGGUCCAGAACACGACGUCGUCUCAGCCGCCCAACGAUCAUAAGUAAGUCUUCGUUUCUUGGAAAACAACUGUUCAAUACGUUUUAUUACAAAUGAUUCUGAGAUACGAAAGGUUAUUUAAUGAAUUGAUUGGAUUAGAAGGUGAAGCUGAUAUCUCUCUUGUGCUGAAUAGAUUCAGUGGCUCCGUUACUCUCAGUGGCGGCAAAGAUUGGAAGGCAACGUUGAAGCUCCCACCUCCUGAUACUCGUUACCAGACAGCGGUUGAUUACCUUCUUCUGAGAUUUGGCUUAAUAAUUGGACUCUCUCCUUAUGUGUGUGAACCUUUUUGUUGAACAUUGUAUGUAGGAUGUGACAGCUACAAAAGGAAAUGAAUUCGAAGAUUACUUUCUGAAAAGGGAUCUUUUAAAGGGAAUAUAUGAGAAGGGUUUUGAGAAGCCAUCUCCUAUUCAAGAAGAGAGCAUUCCCAUUGCUUUGACCGGUAGUGAUAUUCUUGCUAGAGCCAAAAACGGCACAGGAAAGACUGGUGCUUUCUGCAUUCCUGUUCUUGAGAAAAUUGAUCCUAAUACCAAUGUUAUUCAAGGUUUGCUGGUUUAUUGUUAGGAACUCCUUCUCUAUUUGUGAACAAAUAGAGUUACUUUCUGUUCUGACUGGUGUUUGUUUUUUAUACAGCCAUGAUUCUAGUUCCAACGCGAGAGCUGGCUCUUCAGACUUCGCAGGUUUGCAAGGAGCUUUCCAAAUACUUGAACAUCCAGGUUAUGGUCACCACUGGCGGUACCAGUCUGAGAGAUGAUAUCAUGCGGUUACAUCAACCUGUUCAUCUGCUCGUUGGAACUCCUGGAAGAAUACUGGAUCUUACUAAAAAGGGAGUGUGUGUUCUGAAAGACUGCACGAUGCUUGUGAUGGAUGAGGUGAGCUCAUGUACUAUAUCUUCGUUUUGUGAUUUAUUGCUAAAAGUGUGAUGAAAAAACUGUAGGAUUACUGCUAAAAACAAGUUUUCUGAUUGAUUGCAUCCUACUCUAUAUAAAUGCAUUUGCUAUACUUACCGCUUUCUGUAGUCAGUUUUAAAGUUUUAAAUAGAAGUUGUUUUAUUGUGCCAUAAGAUUCAAAGUUUUUAACUCUUUAAAUACUAUCUUACCAGGCCGACAAGCUUUUGUCUGCAGAGUUCCAACCUUCUCUAGAGGAAUUGAUACAGUUUCUGCCAGAGAAUCGUCAGUUUCUGAUGUUUUCUGCUACAUUUCCUGUCACUGUGAAGGCUUUUAAGGAUCGGCAUCUGCGGAAACCAUACGUUAUCAAUCUCAUGGAUCAACUCACGCUAAUGGGUGUCACACAAUAUUACGCUUUUGUUGAAGAGAGACAGAAGGUUCACUGCCUCAACACACUUUUCUCUAAGGUCAGAUGUAUAAAACAAUCCAUGUUACCAGAUAACUCUCUGCUACUCAGAUUUGGAUGAUCUAAGCUGGUUGUCGUUUUUAAUUGCAGCUGCAAAUAAACCAAUCGAUAAUCUUUUGCAACUCUGUUAAUCGCGUGGAACUGUUGGCUAAGAAAAUUACAGAGCUCGGUUAUUCGUGCUUCUACAUUCAUGCGAAGAUGGUUCAAGACCAUAGGAACAGAGUGUUCCAUGAGUUCCGCAAUGGUGCUUGCAGAAAUCUCGUUUGCACUGGUAUGCUUUGUGUUCUUCGAGCAUGUACAUGUACUUUGAUCAAUGAUCAAAUGUAGAUGAUGCUGAAAUAUGACUGGUGCAGAUCUGUUUACUCGUGGAAUUGACAUUCAAGCUGUGAAUGUAGUGAUUAACUUUGAUUUUCCUAGGACAUCUGAGUCGUAUCUACACAGGGUAGGUCGAAACGAGAACUCUUUUUUGCUAUAGCUUCUCUAGUACAACCUCGGUCUUCUUAGUUCAUACUGUGAAAAUGUUCAGGUGGGCCGAUCAGGACGGUUUGGACACCUUGGGCUGGCUGUGAAUUUGGUUACAUACGAGGACCGUUUCAAAAUGUCAGUCGCUCUUCCUCUCCAAUGUUCUUACCGUGUCUUUUGUUUUUCGUUUUUGUUAUAGUUUUCUCAGGCAUUUAUCAUAUGUUUUGAAAACAGGUAUCAGACUGAGCAAGAACUUGGCACUGAAAUCAAACCAAUUCCUUCUCAGAUUGAUCAAGCCAUCUACUGUCAAUAAACCUGUUACCGCACGAGAAAUGUUACCACCCCACGAGUCACAGUGUUGAUGAAAAUGGUGAGGCAAUUUUUCUUCUUCUUAGCUCUUGGCAAAUCAACAUUGAUUGCAUCUGAAGACCUAUGUGCCGCAUUGUUCAGGUGUUUCUCAAGCUAUAGUAGGAGGUGAGGGAACUGAUGCUUGGCGGUUUAUGUAAAGACGACUCGUUACAGAUAUGAACCAGUGUGGUUUGGUUUCUAAUCUUUCUCUAGACUUUGUUUCGUGGUUCUAAUGAAAUCUGUUAACGUUGCUCAUUUAUCUUUGACUUGGUAGUCAAGAAAUAAUAAAGAGAACAUAAGGCUCCUACUUUUUUCCCUGUUGGGUUUUAUACUUUUAUCUAGUGACAGCUGUACUUAUUUUUUUCCCUAGUGUUAUCCGUUGAGAAUUUAGUUUUGCAAGAUAUUUUUUGUUUUUGAUUUACUUGUUUUUACAAUAUAACUCAUGUGAUUCAGAUUCCUGUGGAGAUGUCUCGUUAUUUGAUGAAUAGAUAAGUCGCAUUUAAUUCUUUCAUGUAAAUAAAUAUCUAUGAAAUACUAUAUGUUUGUAUGAAACUACGGCUUUGACUUGUAGCUGACCACAUUCAUGGAGAUAAUAAAUGGAACCCCACCUUGUCUGCAAGGUCAUGACCAAACAGUAUCUUCUUUUUCUUUGACUCUUUGCGAUCCCUAAGCCUAGACAACUUGACGGUGUCGACUUUCUGCUGGCCCAUUGUGGAUUCUGUAAAUUUUAGUAGUAAUAAACAACUAGUAAUAGUAAGAAGCUCAAGCACAUAUAACUUAGUUAUCACACAAAAAUUACAUAAUAGUAAAGAAAGAAUAUGUAUAUAUAUGGCCAUUGUUCAAUGUUCACUAUUAUUUAUUAACAUCAUGAGCGUUUUCAUUUUCUUACGUUAUACUCCUUGUUUGUCGCAUCAAACUUCUUUUCCUUGGGCUCUAAAGUCUACAAGAGUCAAGACUACAAGUCCCUGUCGUCUCCAUUACUUCCACUUCUGCUCCUUUCUUUACUAACUUUAAUUAUUUUUCUAAGAAAAAUGACAAUACAUGUUGCUCUCUGUCUUUGUUUUCCCGGCUAAAAAGGAUGUCACGUUUUAUCCGCUUUUAAUGCUCUUUUUCAUUUCCUGUUUCUUGCAAAUAGAAAUCCUGAGAAAUCCCUAGCCCACUUCUUUACUUUGCCUUAGCUGUAUUCUACAACCCUGACGAGUCGGCUACUUACGAGGGUUGUAUAUUACUCUUUCUCUCUGUUUCAUAUCAAGUAUUUGUUGAUGAAAAAAAAAAUUCGUUACAAAAUAAGUGUUGUUUUCAAAUUUUAAUGUAAAACUAGAUUCUGACCCGCCCUUAAAAGGGCGGGUAUAUUUUUUGUUUUACAUUUUUUUAGAAAUUUAAUUUUUAUAUUUUGUGUUUUAAAUUUUAAUUUUAGAAAUUUGAUUUUCAUAUUUUUUUAUUUCUUUGUAAUUAUAUUUGUAUUUUCUUUGUAAUUAUAUUUGUGUGUAAAUUUUAAUCAAAAUCUAUUUUAUGAAAUAAUAUCAAUUCAAAAGUUGAUCCGGCAUACGCUUGGUUCUUUGUAAUCAUAUGCCGAUAUAGCCGUUUUUUUGUAAUCAUAUUUUUUUUGUUCUAGGUCUUGACCCGUGAAUAUAUUGUUGGUUUGUAAUUUUUGGUUUUUUAUGUUUCUGUAAAUAUGCAACAUUUUUCUGUAAUUUUUUUAAUAUGUUAAAGAAAUUUAAUUUAUAUACACUUAUGGUAAGUAAGAAUAAGAAUGAACGAAAGGUGUUCCUCGGAAUUCUAGUAGGAUUAUCCUAACGUAGUGGUAAGUAUAUAUUAACUGAAAAAGGUAGAGUUAUAUAACAUAGGGUUAAAUUUUUUUUACUUGUUGAUAACCACCCUAAUGUAUUGGUUAUUGUUUAAAUAAAAUCAAAUACAGUUAUGUAAAGAGAAUAAUAAGUGGCUCAUUAAAUAAAUGGAAUAAAUAAUUGGACAUAACAUUUAUCAAUAGAUACUAAAGCGAAUCAAUCCAUUUUUAGUCUAUUUACUUUAAAUUUGUUUUGAUAUUUUUAAUAAAAUAAAAUUAAUUUAUUAGUUUAACUUGGUUUAUAUUUGAUAAAUGUUUUGUAUAUUUGAUUUAAUAACCCGUGAAAACAUAAAUAAUUAUCUGGUACACUAUAAAAGUAAGAUAUUAUAAAUAUUAACUAACUUUAGAUAUUUUUUAUUAAAAAUAGAUAAUAAUUUUAAUUGUGACCAUGUUAUAUUAAACAAAUAACUUAAAUUCAAUUAAAUCAUAUAUUGAUCUAAAUUUGAAAUGUUCGUCGUUUUUUUGUUGUAAAAAAAAAAGAGAAUACAGAUAAUGGUUACAUUAAAUAUUUGAUAGGUUAACUAUAAAACCAAAAACAUGAACCAAAGAACUAAAUAUCAUAAAUAAAAGAAUUUGCUUUAAUAUUCCGUGGAUGAUAAAUACCAUGGUUCCUUAAUGGUUAAAAAUAAAUACCAUGGUCCCAAUUUCAAAACAAAAACAUUAUACCAUGGGUCUCUGAAACUUGAUAGUGGCCUUCUCUGACCACGAAGAGUGUCGUAACACUUAGCAUUAGAAUUUAGUUUUAACUUGGAACUGUCUACUAUUAUACGUUAGUGAAGCAUAUAUUUAAUAAUUUAUUUUUAUAUGUUCAAAUACUCUGAUAACCGUCGCGUAGGAGAGGAGCCCGAGAAUUUUGGAACUUAAAAGGGAAGUUACAAAAUAUUCAGAUUUUCAAUUGGUAAUUUAAAUAUAGGUCUAACGGUAUAAUAAAUAAUAUUCCAAAUAAUGAUAGGAAUAAAAAUAAUAAUAAUUGGACCCUACUUUUAUCAAUGGGUCAAACUGCUGUUUUAAUAGAAUAGAUUUAUUAAUUUUAUUCAGCUAUAUAUUUUUCUAUUAGGUGAAAUAUGGUUAAAUAUAUAUGUAAUUAUGUUUUUAUAUAAAAAAUAUACAAAAUUAAUUAUAUUUUUGCUAAAAUUCACACCUUCAAUAUUAUCAAUCAAAAUCUCAAAGCUCUACUUGCAUCUUGACAAAAAAAAUGUUUUGUUUUUAUGAACAAUCUGCUGUUGCUGUCACAAACAUUGAAUACACAAUGUCAUAAAUGUUGUACAAAAAUUGCGUGUAAUAAAUGGCCAGGGCCGGCUCGAAGCUCGCUGAUCGUCCUUAUUUGCUUCUCUAUUCCCACACACAAUCGUUUUUAUUUCGCUUUUCUUAUACCUCAUUUUAUUUAUAUCAUCUAUAUAUAAAGAACCCUUCCUUUGGCUUUUGUUUCAUCUUUACGACAUUAAAAACCAGACCAGAAACACAUUAAUAGUUUUACCUUUUUCUCAAAAAUUCUCACUUUGAUCCUAUCUUCCCCUUUUUCACUUGGAGGUUUGUCUGUCUCUUCUAUGAAUUUACAACUUUUACUAUACGAUCAUGAAAAGUUUUCAUUCUCUGUGUUUCGUCUUCUUCUUUAAGCUUCAGAACUUGUAAAGGGUUUUCGUUAUUUUGUUAGCGAGGUGAGCAAAAUGGGAAGAAAGCCUUGCUGUGACAAGAAAGGUUUAAAGAAAGGUCCAUGGACUCCUGAAGAAGAUGAGAUUCUUGUUGAAUAUAUCAAGCAAAACAGCCAUGGAAGCUGGAGAUUACUUCCAAAGAAAGCUGGUAAAUCUCACAUUCUUCCCUCUUUCGGUCUUUUGUUUGAUUCUUGAGACAGUUAAAAAAACAUAGUUUCCAGCUUAUUCCUUCAGCCUCAAGUAACUACUAGGGUUCUUGAUAGUUUUUUUUGGAGCUUAUUUGCCAGAUAACCAAAAAAAUGAAAAAUUAGAUUUUGGAAGAGAGAGUAAAGAGAUAGGAAGAGAAAGUAGGAGAGAGGGGGGAGUUUUAGUUAGUUAGUGUAUUUUUGUUUUUUUAUUGUAUAUAAGAUGCAAUUUUCUUCUUUUUUUUUUUGAAAAAUAGGGUUCUUGAUAGUUUUCAUCUUUAUUAGGUUUACUACGCUGUGGAAAGAGUUGUAGAUUGAGAUGGACCAACUAUCUAAGACCAGACAUAAAGAGAGGUCCAUUCACUCCCCAGGAGGAGAAACUCGUUGUCCAACUUCACGCCAUUCUUGGCAACAGGUUGCUUCUACAUUGUCUUAUAAAACUCGGUUAAUUUCUCGUUGUUUGAAUCCUCUCUUUUUGUCUUUGGGGUUAGGUGGGCUGCUAUAGCAGCACAGCUUCCAGGGAGAACAGAUAACGAGAUCAAGAACUUAUGGAACACACACUUGAAGAAACGUAUGCUAAGUAUGGGUCUUGAUCCCAAAACGCACGAGCCGUUACCUUCACAUGGGUUAGCCAAACAAGCUCCAGCUUCACAAACAACUCGCCACAUGGCUCAAUGGGAAAGUGCUAGGCUUGAAGCUGAGGCAAGACUCUCUAGAGAGUCAAUUCUUUUUAAUCCUUCUUGUGAAGUGAAAUAUGAAUGUGAUCACUUCUUACGCAUAUGGAACUCAGAGAUUGGUGAAUCUUUCAAAAACCUUACUACUACAAGUCAAAGCCCUUGCUCGAGGACAACAUCUUCCUCAUCUGCACUUGUAGGGAAAGAGACUGUUAUGGGGAUUAAUCAUGGCUCUGGCUCUUCUUCUCCAUGUUCGAAUAAUGUUGAAGAUGUUUCAUCAGAUUCUGCUCUUCAGCUUCUACUUGAUUUCCCAAUAAGUGAUGAUGAUAUGAGCUUCUUGGAAGAGAACAUUGGUAGUAGCUACACAGAGUCACACGUUGGUGUUUCUAUCAAUGGUUUCUAAACUUAUGGUUUCUAAAAAAAAGAGAGAUACAUUGUCUAAUGUAAAUUCGCAUUCAGUUGGUUUAAAAUUAUUUAUUUUCUUAUCCGUUGUUUUUAAAUGUCAUCAGAUCUUACGGCUGUGAAGCCAAUAAGCUGUUGUCGAUCACGUAAACUGCGAUGUAGGUGAAUAUAAAACUCUGGUUACCGACAGACAGGUAAUACUGUUAACAAUGCCACGUAAGACUAAAAAUGUGGAGCUUUUCAAGCAAUUUGUCGUGACCCCCUUCGCGCCAGAUAAAGUAGGCUUUAUCUAUUGGGCCUGCUUCCAUUUUUAUACAAUUUUAUUCAAAAAUAUCUAAGAGCUAUCUCACAACCAGACCUAGGCAUUUUAGUCAGAUCCGAAAAUCUGAGUCGGAACGGCCCAAAAAUAUCCGAAUUAGAAUCGGCCUGAAAAUAUCCGAUGCAAAAUCGAACAAAAAAUUUACAAGUACUAUCUAUUGGAUCCAAAAUUCUUCUAUUUGAAAGAAUCGAAAAAACUGGUCAACAUAUUCGAUCUAAUAAGAACUAAUUCAUAACCGACUUAAAAAUAUGAAAAUCCAAAACUAUGACAUUUUACGUUCUAGUUUCUAUAUUUUAUUUUAUGAUUUAGUUGAAAUAUUUUUGUUUAUAACAUGAAACUUUAAAUGUAAGUGUUACAGAAAAAUGAAGCUUUAAUUAAUUGUAAAAUUUAGAGUUUUAAAAAGUUUUAUAUUAAUUAUUAAUAGUUUUAAGUUGUUUUGUAAAAUUUUAGAUAUAUAUGAAAUAUUUCGACUAAAUUUGAUCGGGUUUGGAUAUUUCGUAUCAUUUUCGGAUAAUAAAUACUCGAACCCAACCCGGAUCUAAUAAGGACCCUAAAAUUGUUGGUAUUUUACAUAUAUUUUAAUUAUAGAUUCGAACCUAUCUGGAUCUUAAAAGAACCGACCAGAAUCCGAACCAAAUAUUUACAAGUACUUAUUAGAUCCAAAUGUUUAGAAGGAUCCGAAUUUAAGAAGAAUCAGCCCGAACCCGACUCGAAGACAAGUCAAGGCCUACUCACAACUAAGGUUUGAGUGACCAAAGAUAAAACAACCCAGAAGAUUUUGUCUCUAUUAUAUCAUGCAUGAGAAUUGGAAACCUUCAUGUUUGCUGGUUUAUAAACUUAUGGGCUUUCAAUUCCCUUUCGUCUUAUGGCCCGGCCCAUCUUGUAUACCAAUUAGUAAACUUUUAAUUCUACCGUUCGUCUACUAGUGUGCUCUUACUAAACAAACAAGCGGAGUUUUAGCUCUAAUUCUAUCGUACUACACUUCAAUAUUGGCUUUAACAAUGGACGUAAGAAAAUUAGUAACUUGAACGUGCUUAAUUAUUUAUUGACAAUGGUUUGCGUAUGAGUCUGAGAGUUGUCGAGGUUAGGUCAGCUACUAAACGUUUGAUUGAGCACGUUCUCUCGUAGUUAUGGGUAAAUAGAAUAUACACUUCUGACAACACACCACGAUAAUCUCAUUUAAUGUUUUGAAAAAUGAUACAUCUGCUGAGUAUAGUAUAUUAUUUUUAUUUAUAAUCUCCAAUCAAAAGCCGUGAUCUAAAACAAAGCCCGUAAUAUAUUCUGUUACUUGUAUAUGUAUCGUAUAAUACUAUAAUUUAAACUUAGAUCAGAUCAUAACUCGUUUCUUAAAAUCCAAAGAAGACACGUUGGUAAGUUGUUAUAAACAAUGCAUGGAAGUCUCUAGAGAUUAGGGCUAGCUGGGGAUAGGUGAGGGUUAAUGGAGGAGAUUAACGAGAUUAGGAGUUUAGUGAUAAUUAAAAAACAAUAGAAUAGGGUUUCUCUGAUUACUGAAUUAUCUUAAGUUAUUAAUCAAACCAUAUCAACCACAUAGGUAAAGACUCCUAAGCAGACUUAUACAUCAAUCUCAUCGACCCUAACCUAUCAUUGUCUAUACAUAAUAAUAUCCCAAGUCAUUAUCUCAAUAAAUCAACAGCUAGUUAAUUGAAAAACCAAAGCCUCGAUUUUCUAUCGUUAGUUUUUUGUCUUGGUCUUUUGACCGUUUCUCCAUGUCGUAUCCUCUUUUUCAUUAUAAGUCUUUGUAACUUUUAUUACACUUCAUAAAAGAACGAUUAGACUCGUGCAUCAAGGAGUGGAAGGCAUGAAGACGAACAACAACGAUGAACAACGCAAAACGCUGCCGUUUCCUGGAAAAUACAUCUUGAAAUCUACUGUUUUCAUCGUUGCUUCUCUCUUCAUAUCAGCUGCUCUCUUGGGUUUUCUUGGCUAUCUCAACUUUGUGAGUUUUAAAUCCAAAUAUUUUUGUGCAUUCUAUAGCGUAACACACUAUACCAUAUUAACUUUUUUUAUUCUUUAGAAUGCUUUCGCAGGUUUCAAACUAAUACCGAAGAGAUUUAAACCUAGGUUCCCUUACCAAUGCGACGUUCAGGAUCAAACACAUCAGAUUCAUUUCUCUCAGAAUCUCACAUCGAGAUUACAUACCAGCCGUUCACAACCAUCGUCUUGUCCUUCUUACUUCCGCUGGAUCCACGAAGACUUACGACCGUGGAAAGAAACGGGGAUAACUAGAAACAUGGUUGAGAAAGCCAGCAAAACGGCGCAUUUUAGACUAGUGAUCCACCGCGGCAAGGCGUACGUUAAGAGAUACAGAAAGUCAAUUCAAACGAGAGAUGAUUUUACUCUGUGGGGAAUCCUACAGUUGUUACGGUGGUACCCGGGGAAAUUGCCUGAUCUCGACCUUAUGUUCGACGCUGACGAUCGUCCCGUCGUCCGAUCUGAUGACUAUACAGGUCAACAAAACAAGGAUCCACCUCCACUGUUUCGUUACUGCUCUGAUGAUGCCAGCUUGGAUAUUGUCUUCCCUGAUUGGUCCUUUUGGGGCUGGUAAGCUAACUCUACUAGAUACUGUGCUUAUUAUUAGGCCUUAUUUGUAACAUGGGCUUUUAAUGGGCUAGGGCUGAAGUAAACAUAAAACCAUGGGGGGAGUCGCUAGAGGCAAUACAAGAAGGGAACAAUAUUACACAAUGGAAGGACCGUGUGGCGUACGCUUAUUGGAGGGGGAAUCCUUAUGUAGACCCCACGAGAGGAGAUCUUCUCAAGUGUAACGUUUCGGAAAAUGAAGAAUGGAACACUCGUCUCUAUGUUCAGGUGUUACAAAAGUUCACUUAGAAAAAUACUUUAUAUUAUACACUUACAUGUGUAUACGAGUUAUAAUGUAUCUCAAUUUUUGAAAUGGUCUUCAAGGACUGGGAUAAAGAAACCAAAGAAGGGUUCAAGAACUCAAACCUAGAUCACCAGUGCACCCACAGAUACAAGAUAUAUAUAGAAGGAUGGGCAUGGUCGGUUAGUGAGAAGUAUAUAAUGGCAUGUGAUUCUAUGACAUUGUACGUGAAACCAAGAUUCUACGACUUCUACAUACGAGGAAUGAUGCCACUGCAACACUACUGGCCAAUCAGAGACGACUCCAAGUGUACUUCUCUCAAGUUCGCCGUACAUUGGGGGAAUACACACGUGGAUAAGGUUAUCUAAUUAAAGGUUUUCACAUUGGACCUCGAAGUUUGUUUUGUGUAAAUGUAAACCUGGUUGGUUUUUGUUGUGUAGGCACGUGAGAUUGGAGAGCUAGGGAGUAGGUUUAUAAGAGAGGAGGUGAACAUGAAGUAUGUGUAUGACUAUAUGUUUCAUUUGCUCAAUGAGUAUGCGAAGCUCUUAAAAUUUAAGGUAAAGAUUCCUUCGGAUGCGGAGGAGAUCACACCGGAGAGUUUGGGAUGUGCAGCGACUGAGCGGUGGAGAGACUUCAUGGCGGAGUCUAUGGUAAUGUCUCCAAGUGAAGAGUUUCCAUGUGAGAUGGUUCCUCCUUAUGACCGUCUGGCUUUAAAAGAGGUCAUUGAGAGAAAAGCUAAUUUAACACGUCAAGUUGAGUUGUGGGAGGACCAAUAUUUUAAUGAUUUGGCCAACAAACCUUAAUUUAUACAAAGGUUUUAAUAUUAGUAUUUCCAUGAUGUUUUUGCUAGUAACCGUUUUAUUUGCUUUACCUAUAAUUCUCACAUAUGCAUACUAUCGAGAUCUGUAUCAGGAAUAACAUGAAAGUCGUGAUGAUAACACCAAUCAUAUGUAUAUUAGACUACAAAGUUUUAUUCGCAACGAUCUUAUUACCUAUAGCGUCAAUGUUUAUUGUUUAGUCUCUACUAGACAAUUAGUCACAUACUCUGUGUGGUGACGCACUGACGCUCCACAAUCAUUUCGAAAAUGUAGAAAAAAAGAUAACAAAAUGAGUAUUAUUUUUUAAACAUGACAAAGAGAUGAAUAAAGAAAAAAAAUUAUUUAUCAAAGUUUUUGUAAAUGUUGCUAUAAGCUUGUCAACAAAGUUUGUAGGUGACAGAAAGAAACUAUAUUAUGCGUAGGUAGUGUUCAGUGUUUCAUAUAUAUAUAAUUAACGAGAGCGCGCGGUUGACAAACUUAAGCUUACAUCAUUAAUACGGUGUCCUAUACCUUAAUCACGUUACACUAUCAACCCGGACCUCGCUUUGAUUCUAUACAGUUAUAAACCAAACUCCAAAAUCAUUAAUUAGUUUAUUUUUUACCUCUUAAAGAGACGCAUGAGAAGUGAGCUAUGGUUAACCGUACCCUAAACUUCUCUGUUCUUCACUAGCCCUCUUUCUCUCUCUAGAUCUUGUGUGUUUGUCAGAUGGGAGAGAGCAUACACGUGGAUAGAUCCACAUAUAAGACCUACAUGAGAAACAACAAAACCCAGUUGUGAGGUUAUGCUCUAAACACCUACUAAACACAUAUAUGGGUCACCACCAUAACAUAGCAUAUACCUAUGAAUCAUGAUAUCAUUUUUUAUGUUUUGAUAUUAAUUAGUUUGUAUUAAGUGAGAGUAGAAUUCAGUGUCAUUAUCACCUCCAAUCUGAAUCCGAGAAAUGUUUUAGUCGAAAACUGCUUGAAAAUGUAUCAAACAAAAUAUAAACCUAUAAUAUAUAAAAAUUGAGGAUAUAAACCAUCGAAAGCAUCCACAUAAAAUUUAAAACAAUCAACUAAAAUACGAUAAAUUAUCAUCUUCAUUUAUUUUAGUUUUCUAAAAUGUCAAUAUUUCCAGAUAUUUUUAAAUUAAAACAAAAUUACUAUUAAAUAAAUAAGUUAAACUAACAAAAUAAAUAUUAACAUUUGAAAACUAACUUAAAAAUGGUAAAUAUUAUAGUAAAAUGGAAAAGUAAUUAUUUUUGGUGUGAUAAAUCCAAAGUAAAAUUUAUAAUAAAAUAAAUGGUAAAUUAAUGCUAAAAUAGUUAAAGUAACAAAAUUAAACAUCUAAAAACAUUCACAAUUAAUAAAACAAGAAAAUUAUAUUUCCAAAAUAUGUUUUAAAAUAAAACGAAAUUACUAUUACAUAUAUAAGUUAAACUACCAAAUUAAAUAUAUAUACUCUACAAAAGUUGAGGCUAUAAGCCAUCGAGAAUGUACACAUAGUAUUUCAAAAUAAAUAUGAUGAAAAGAACGAGUUUUUUUCUAAGCAAAUAUAUAUAUGAAUACAAUAGUAUACUAACACUGGUGAAGGCUAAUUAGAUAAAUAUAAUACUAAUAUAUAUAUACAUAUAUAUAUGUAUUAACAUUGAUUUUUUAGUAUUAGCUUACGUAAACAUUUCAUGUGUAUCUUUAAAGAGAAACAACAUAGUUUGAUUAAUAGGGAAUUUCUUAAAAUAUCAUUAAUUGGAUAUCACUUUUCAAAAAUAAUUUAAUCUAAAAUAUUUUAAUAUUUGUGUUUAUGGUUUUGUAAAUAUUGUUUAGGAUUUAGUAUUUAGGGGAGGGUUGGGUUUAUAAGUUUCUAUAAAUAAUUUUUAAACAUUUACAAAUGAUUUGGAACGGUUAGUUUAGUUUUGUCCACAAAUUUAAGCUAUUUAUAAAAAUGGUCAUUUUUUAACGGUAAAUUUCAAAUGUGAUAUCAAUUUUGUGGUAAAAUUAAAAUUUUCACUUAAUUAAUUGGUAUUGUUCUCCGCAGCCUUGCAUUCAAUCAAAACAAGCUAUCUUUUGUCACGUUAAAAUAUAAGUUGAGAUUAUAAGUUUUUAAAAAAUGUUCAAAUAUGAUUUCAAAUUAUCAGUCAAAAUAUGUUAAAUUAUUAUUGUAACGUGUAAAUUUUAAAAUUUCUGGAAAAAUAUUUUAUAUAAAAUAAAAAUUAAUAUAAAAUAAAAUUAAUUAAUAAAACUAAAUCAUUAAAAAUGAAUUAACUUAAUAUAGAUACUAAAUUGUUGAAAUAACAUUAAAAUUAGUUGACAAAAAUAUUAGCAAAAUUUUCCAAAAAACUCAUAAUUUGUUUUGAAAUACAAAUCUACACUUCAUGUUGAAAGUAUUUUUGAAAUGUGCUAACUUCUUGUUGAAAGUUUUUUUGAAAAGUGGUAACUAACUUAAGAUAUUUUAAUUAGUCUCUAGGAUUUAGAACCAUUAAUCAUGUACAUUUUCAAGUUGACAUUUUUUAAACAAUUAUAUAUUUUAACGUAAUUUAUAAAUUCAUAAAUAAAAACAAAUAAUCAUUUUUUUGUCAGCAAUUUAAACAUACUCAACUAAGACUUUGCAAACCAAACUGUUAUAAAUUAUAUAUUUUUAACAUAAUUUGUAAAUUCAUAAAUAAAAACAAAUAACUUUUUUUUGUCAGUAACAUAAACCGACUCAACUAAGAUUCUGCAAACAAACCAAACUGGUAACUCUGUAUUUAUAUGAACAUAAAAGACGGUUGAGUCUUGUCACUGCGUGCAAGAGUGUCCGCCUUUGUAUUCUUCGUUUUGGGUAUAUGAAUGAGCUCCGAGUGAUUGAUUUUUUUUUUCAUUAUCUUGAUAUCUUCCAAAUAACUUAUAAAAAUAGUCAAUUCUUCUGAUUCUGAAAUUAUCUUUUUUUUGAAACUAUUUUAACCAAUUGAAAACAAUCAUAAAUUCUUUAUACAUUCCCUCAGAUGAACGUUUCUAUUUCCAGAUGAAGAUGUGAGAGGAUGGCAGACCAGCAAGCUCAGCCUCAGGAAAAAAGAGACGAGAACUAUCUUCAUUUAAAUUCUGAACGUAUCGCAAGCUCAUUAAUUUCAUUUCUCAGGCUAUCCAUUUCCUCUUUUUUUGUUGCAGUAAAGUUCAGACCAUUGUGCUCGGAGUCUCGAACCUGUCACUGAUAAAACAGAAAUCAAUACAUUUCUUCAACACAGACAGCUUAGUAAAGAAAAAAAAAGAAGUAUGCAAGCAACUCUUUCAAAUGUGCUACGAAAUAGAGCUCAUUACUGCAACCACUUUCUUCUGGAGCAACAGAAGGAAAUAUUUAAUUAGAACCUCUAGUGAAACCCUAAAUAUUCAUGCACAGAUAUAAAUAUUCUUUUGAUAUUCCUUGGAUUUUUUCUAACAUGUAUGCGUUAAUCUCGUCAACUGUCUCAUUUCCUGGAGUUAGAAUAGCUCUCUUGGUAAUUCUUGCUUUUGUACUUUUUGAUAGCAUAUUUUCUGCGCUGGUGUCUCCGAAAAUAUCCUGCAAAUGAUUUCCAGAUGAUUGCAUUAAGACUUUGGGAUUAACUACGACUAUUUGACCAUUGUCUUCGUUGGCUGCUCUUGCUUCGUUUCUAGGUGCAUUUCCAUCACCAACACAUAGCAGCCAUUCCGCAAAGCUUUCUUGUGAUUUUUCGUCUCAUAUUCUGUUUGAGAUCAAAGACUUUGCAGAAGUCCCACAAGUGUGACUAUUUUAUUGUAACUAAAACUGUGUCAGCUCUAUAACUUUGUCGAAUUAUCAGUAGUGUUUGCCUUAAGUCUCCACCUAAUAAUAUAGUUUUGCCUCCAAAAGGUUGGUUUUUAACUUUUGGAUCUUUAAUGGACAUCAAAUCUUGUAGUGUUCUGUCAAGGGCUUCAAAUGCAUGCCGUUGUCUAGGAGCCUCAUCCCAUAUAAUUAUAUCAGUUUUUCCAGUUAGUUCAGCUAGCAUUAUUUCUGGAAAUAUAUCACAUACUGAAUCUUCAUUGAGAUUCAUGGGUGUAUCUUAAAGCGGGAAUGUGCUAUCCUUUUUGCAGGUAAAAGCAAUGCUGCACUACCGGAUGAAGCAACUGGGAGUACUAUUUCUUUUCUUUUUUUUUUCUGAUCGCAACUUAGAAAUAAUGAUGUUGUAAAGGUAUGUCUUCCCUGUUCCACCAGGAACGUAUAGAAAACAAUAAUUUACCCAAACCAUUUUCAACUGACUCCAUAACUGCAUCAUAAACUUUUCUUUGCUGCACAUUUAGACUGUUGCAUCGUUUGCUAUGUUCCUCUUUUUCUUGAUGUAUAUUGUAUUGUAACUCUUGGUUUAGCAGUGUGUUACCUAGUUCUUUUAUAACUGUUAGAUCUGGUUUUGGCAUGUCAUUUAACUCGUCUAGUGACCGUUCAUGCCGGUGCAUCACUUUCUCUAUCUCGCUCAUGACCGAUGAAACCGACAUGUCGAUCAACACGACGAAACCAACAUCUCUUUCGAGACUAUGAUAAAUGAACUACGUUAGACUUAACCCCGCAAUGGGUACGUAGGCAGCUCGACUUCAAGUUCAGUCACGAUCCUUCUUUCUCCCGAAAUCUCUAUGCUAUUUGGCAUGCGAAUAGAGUCCAUUUCUGUCAACUCAUACAUGAUUACAUUUGUGUCCUGAAGAUAUAGUUGCUUAUGCUAUUUCUUUCCUAAUCUUUACAAACAAUCACUACCAAAUACCUAAUGUGGGUUUUAGGAUCCACAAUAAUGUCGUGCUCAGUUCGGUUUUAUAUUUUUUUAUAAAACCAAAAACUUAACUGAAUUAGAAAUGAUUCAGAUUUGGAUUGGGUUUAAAGUAGAAACCAACAAAAACUCGAAAAUCCGAGUUAAAUCCAAAAAAUCAAAGAAAAUAUUCGGGUUAUUCAACUUUUGAUAAAAAAUUAUUUGUAUAUAUACAUAUAUUUUUAAAAAAUUAAAUUUUAAAUAUAAUUUUAGGUAAAUAAAUGAUAUUUUUGAUAUUUGGAUACAUGUUCGGAUUUUGGUUAAGUUCCGGUUCAAUUUUGUUUUUUAGUUUUUUUUUUUUAAAUAUGAUCUGAUCCGUUCGGGUUUUUGUAAGUUUCAGUUCGGUAAGUUUUCUUUUUGGGUUUCGGAUAAUAUGCCAAUGACUAAUUGACAUGAUUAUUUUCUUUUACCUACACAAUCUGAAUUACUUAGAAACCGAAAUUAGCUGUUAAACAUAACCAAAAUGUUCAAUUGGAGUUCCAUUUGGCAAGUUUACUCACCGGUUAGGAAGAUCAACUAAGUAGAAUCCAUAUACAACUUAAUUUGUUUCCAAGUAUUUCCACCUGACAAUGUAACAUCAGAUUUUAAUUAGAGCUAAAUUGAAUGAUUUUAUGUUGUAAUCAGUGAACCAUUACGCGUUGACCUAAAACCUUUUUUCUCAAGUCAACCUGACCUAAGUUCCAGCGAUAAAGCAAACGAUUCGGUUGAGGUUGGACCCAUUAGCUCGUGCACAAGUUCUGGGAAGAGGAGAGAGUUCAGUUCUUGCGGUUUGGCUCUCAAUUUUUUAAAUGCCGUAGGAGUUUUUUAUGCUUUGGUUUGGGAAUUUGUUAGAGGGAGAAAUCUUGUGUUAGGUUCUGUAUAGUUACCGUAGUGGUACUGAUUUGUAACCCAAAGUUAUAUAAAUAAAUAAAAAGAAGUUAAAAAAAAAAAAAAGUUCCAGCGAAUCAUCGGAUAGAAACAACUCAUAUGUAUUAAGCAUGUUUAUGUACAAGAAUGUAUCUAAGAAGGUAUCUACAUUCUGUAACAAUGAAUAUCAAUAUUUAGGCCUAUUUUCUGUCGACGAAUUUGUUUAAGGCCCAUCAAAUGCGUUGCUAGGAAUACAAUAACGAAUAGUGGAAUACACGACCAAGUUGAGCAAACGCCGAAAAUUAGUCGCUCCCCAUGACACAAGAAUGAUGAUAUUUUCAUAUUAAGCACUCGAAUAUUAGGGUUAAACAUUUAUACAAUGAUUUUAGGAAUUACAAGACAGAACGCUAACCAACUACAUGAAAGUUAUGAUCAAUUUUUUUUUUUUUUGAAACUGAAUUAAACUGUAUUUGUUAGGGAAAAUAAAAUAAAAAGAACAAAACAUUCCACGUUUUUGUCUCUUAAUCUUUGUUUAUGUCACCUGAUAACAACAUCUCCAAAAUAAUAUAUAUCUUACACCUCAUUAGUCCCUUCUUAGCUAUUGUAUUAAUAAUAAACUAGAUAGUAAAACGGAAAUUUUAAAUGAUCGUUGAGAUGUUUUAAGAUCUUUCAGUGAUCGCUUUUUCUAGGCUUUGUUUCAUUUCUGAUACGUGUGGGUCAUUUCUCUACGAAAUCCCAGGACAAUGGUCAAUGUAUCUAGUUUUGAGACAAGUCAUGUUCAUUCAAGAAGUCCCACACAGUUGGAGAUGAAGAAGGGAAAAAUCGAAGAGAAGGCAAAGACCGUACCUUUCUACAAACUGUUUUCUUUCUCAGAUUUUACCGAUGUGUUGUUGAUGAUCGUUGGUUCGAUCGGAGCUAUCGGAAACGGUCUUGGUUUUCCGUUGAUGACAUUGUUGUUUGGUGAUCUUAUUGAUACGAUUGGUCGAAACCUAUUCACAAACGAUAUUGUCGAGUUAAUCUCCAAGGUUAGAUAUACAUGCACCAAGGAAACAAUCUUUCAAGUUUUACUUGGUUAUGUUUACUUUAUUUUGUUUGGUUUUCUUCGUUUUAGAUUUGUUUGAAAUUUGUCUACCUUGGACUUGGGACAUUUGUAGCAGCCUUUCUUCGUAAGUAAUAUACUCUCUGAUUCAAAUUAAAUAUCGUUUAAUACCAUGUAAACAUUUUCAAUGUAAGAUUUGACAUAAAUACAUUAACUUAACCUCAAGUGAGAUAUCAUGCUACUAAAUAAUUAAUUUUUUGUCAGCAAUAUCAUGCUAUUAAUUAACUUGUGUUAAACAUAACAAAACAGAACUACUGUAUACACACAAUUUUUUUUUGUUACUUGUUAAGGAAGAAAGCAAUUUCGUUUUAUGUUUCCCCGUGUUCUAGAGGUGUCUUGUUGGGUGAUUACGGGAGAAAGACAAGCUGCAAGGAUAAGAAGUUUAUAUCUGAAGACAAUACUAAGACAAGACAUUGUAUUCUUCGAUGUGGAAACAAACACAGGAGAAGUUGUUGGUCGUAUGUCAGGUGAUACUGUUCUUAUACUAGAUGCUAUGGGUGAAAAGGUAAACAAAAGAAAAAUACCCACAAAAAUAGAUGUUAUUGUAUACAUAGAUUGAAAUAUAUGAAGUGUGAAAUUUUUUUUCAGGUUGGGAAGUUUAUACAGUUGCUCGCAACAUUCUUGGCUGGAUAUGCUUUAGCGUUUGUGAAAGGAUGGUUACUUACACUUGUUAUGUUAGCCUCAAUUCCUCUCCUAGCUAUGGCUGGUGCAGCUACAUCGAUUAUUUCCACUAAAGCUUCUUCUCAACAACAAGCUGCUUAUGCCAAAGCAUCAACUAUUGUUGAACAAACUUGCGGGUCUAUUCGAACCGUAAAAAAUACUUCCUUUCCCUCCUUUACUUGUUGACUUAUCAUAAAAUAUAUAGAAGUUUGAAACAUAAACCAUGUGAUUGCAUGAUUCCACCAGGUUGCUUCAUUCACGAGAGAGAAGCAGGCGAUUAGUAGCUACAAAGAAUUGAUAAACUUGGCCUAUGAAUCGACUGUCAACCAAGGUUUCUCUACGGGUUUAGGGUUGGGAGUAAUGUUCUUGGUGUUCUUUUGUAGCUAUGCUUUGGCUAUAUGGUUUGGUGGAGAGAUGAUACUCAGAAAAGGGUAUACAGGUGGUGCAGUGAUUAAUGUAAUGGUCAUUGUGGUCACAAGUUCGAUGUGAGUAGAACAUAUCUUCCUUAGUCUCAAAACAGUUAAAACAAUUAGAAUUGUAAUUUUUUUAGGGACAACUUCCCACUUCUGAAUUAAGUAAAUCCCACAUCGGUAGCGAAAAGAGAUUCAAGUAAUGUAUAUAAACGAGAUGAACCAAUUCACUUAUUGCCAAUUGGUUCUGAGUUGGAAGCCAAUCUAACUGUUUUUCUUUCUUUGGAUAGGUCUUUAGGGCAAGCAGCACCAUGUCUAACCUCAUUUGCAGCUGGUCAAGCUGCAGCUUAUAAAAUGUUUGAAACGAUAAAAAGGAAGCCGGUGAUUGAUUGUUUUGACCUAAACGGAAAGGUUUUAGAAGAUAUACAAGGCAAAAUAGAGCUGAGAGAUGUGUGUUUUAGUUACCCUGCAAGGCCUAGAGAAGAGGUCUUUAGAGGAUUCUCUCUGAUGAUCUCAAGUGGCACAACCACUGCUUUGGUAGGAGAAAGCGGGAGCGGUAAAUCUACAGUGAUGAGUUUAAUAGAAAGGUUCUAUGAUCCGAAUUCCGGCCAAGUGCUUAUUGAUGGUGUUGACUUGAAGGAGUUUCAGCUGAAAUGGAUUAGAGGAAAGAUUGGAUUGGUUAGUCAAGAACCGGUUCUGUUUUCUUCAAGUAUAAUGGAGAAUAUUGGGUACGGGAAAGUCGGAGCGACUGUCCAAGAGAUUGAAGCAGCUGCGAAGCUAGCAAACGCGGCUAAGUUUAUCGAUAAGUUGCCUCGGGGUUUAGAGACAAUGGUAGGUGAACAUGGAACUCAGCUCUCAGGAGGACAGAAACAGAGGAUUGCUAUCGCUAGGGCCAUACUUAAAGAUCCUAGGAUUUUGCUGUUAGAUGAAGCGACAAGCGCUCUUGAUGCAGAAUCCGAACGAGUGGUUCAAGAAGCUUUAGAUAGGGUGAUGGUUAACCGGACUACUGUGAUUGUCGCACAUCGGUUAAGCACAGUGAGAAAUGCUGAUGUGAUUGCUGUUCUUCACCGUGGAAAGAUAGUUGAAGAAGGUACAUGCAUGGUACACAUUGUUACUUAAGGACAUAUAUAUAUAAUCUUUUGGAAUAUAUAAUUGUUUAGCUUUUGCUUUACUUUUAUUACAUUUAAGGUUCACAUUUGGAGUUACUCAAGGAUCAUGAAGGGGCUUAUUCACAACUUAUACGGCUACAAGAGAUAAACACAGAAUCAAAACGAUUAGAGAUUUCAAAUGGACAGCAAGACGGAUCUAUCAGGAAUGGAGGAAACAGUGCCAGUGGGAUGCAUGGUGAUGAUGAUGAAUCUGUUUCCGCUCUUGGCUUACUUGCAGGACAAGAAAACACUGAAAUGCCUAAAGAUAUGCCCCAAGAUGUGUCAAUUACUCGAAUUACUGCUCUUAACAAACCGGAGGCUCUGAUUCUUACACUUGGAACCAUAGUAUGUGCACUUGACGGCGCUAUAUUCCCCAUCUUUGGACUCUUCUUUGCUAAAGUUAUCAUGUCUUUCUUCCAACCGCCUCAUGAGCUGAGGAGCAAUUCGAGAUACUGGUCGAUAAUAUUUGUGCUUCUCGGUGUACUCUCUUUGGUAGUGUAUCCAACACAUAUGUCCUUGUUUGCUGUAGCUGGAGGGCGACUGGUUCGUAGGAUAAGAUCAAUGUGUUUUGAGAAAGUUAUUCACAUGGAGAUUGGGUGGUUUGAUGAGCCCGAGAACUCGAGUGGUGCCAUUGGAGCAAGGCUCUCUGCUGAUGCAGCCUUGAUCAGGACACUUGUGGGCGACUCUUUGGCUCUAACUGUCAAGAACGUUGCAACCGCAGUGGUGGGAAUAAUCAUAGCUUUUGUGAUUAGCUGGGAGUUAGCUGUUAUUAUCUUAGUAACGAUUCCUUUAACUGGAAUCAAUCAUUACGUUCAGAUUAAGUUCAUGAAAGGCUUCAGCGCAGACGCAAAGGUUGGUUCUUUUUCAUUAAAUAGGUUUAGGGUUUGUUACUUUUUCAACAAGAAACUGAAAUAAAUUGUUUGUAGACAAAGUACGAGGAGGCGAGUCAAGUGGCGAGUGAUGCGGUUGGGAGUAUAAGAACGGUUGCGUCUUUCUGUGCGGAGGAAAAAGUGAUAGAGAUGUAUAAGAAACGAUGUGAAGAAACAAUCAAAUCGGGGAUGAAGCAAGGACUAGUGGCAGGAUUAGGGUUUGGUCUCUCCUUCUUCGUUCUUUACUCUGUCUACGCUGCUUGUUUCUACGCAGGUGCUAGAUUGGUAAAAGACGGAAGGACAACUUACAACGGUGUUUUUGAGGUUUUGUCUUUGCUCUUUUUCUUCGGAAAUCUAUGUUAUAAAUCUUGAGUAUAGUAGACAUUGGUGUUCGGGUUCGGUCUGGAUUUCAGGUUUUGCGUUCAGCCUCCUAGGCACCAUUUGGAUUUUAUAUAUGUUUAGGUCAGGUUCAGUUAAAAAUACUUUGGUUUCAAAUAUAUUUUAUAUCUAGAUGUUUCACCCGUCCAUACGGGUAUAAGUAUUUUAUAAUUACUUAUUAACACAUACAUUAUUAAUUAAAAAAUUAUAGUGAUAAAUAAUUAUUUAUGUUAUCAUUUGAAUUUUUCUACAUAUUAUAAUUUUUUUUGAAAAUUUCUUUGUACAAUAAUUUAUUAUUAAUAAAUAAAUCUUAGAAAUCAGUCAAUGUUCUCUUUUCAAUUAUAUAAAUUAUGAAUUUUACUUUAUUAAUAUUUUAGUUAUGUGUUUUUUUAUAAAUUUUGCCAUUUUAAAAAGAUAUUUUUGGAUAAGACAAUAUAUAUACAGAACUAUCUUUUUUAAAAAUAUGUUUUUAGAUUUUGGAUAAUUUUUAUUAUUAUUAAUUUUAAUCAAUUAUUUAAUAAAAUAAAUUAUUAUUUUUUGGCUAAUUUAUAUAUUUUAUAUAUUCUUUAAAGGUAUAAACGAAAGUAACAUACGUAACUUUUAACGAAGCUCGAAUGCGAAAAAAAUCACUUUACAAAUAAUAGUAUAGAUAGUUAUAUAGAUAUAUCCAAGACACAUUUUAGAGCAUAAUCUAUUUCUAGUUUGGUUAAUUUUAAUUAUGUUCAGAUAAUUUUAGAUGGCAUAACAAAAUAAACGCAAAAUUGAAUAUCUGAGAUACUUAUUUAGUUCUUGAAUACAAUUUGGAUACUAACUCAAAUUUUUAUGUCAGUUUUCUUGGGUUAUUGGAAUUUUAUAUAUUUUGGGUUCGGUUAAUAAAUAAUAACACUUAGGGCACAUGUAUGUUUUACACAACUCUACAUGAUCAAUUCGAGUUUUUUUACAGUUUGGACAUGUUUUUUUUGUUAAGAGAAGAGGUUAAAUGUUUUUCUAUUGGAUGGGUUUGCGCCAGGUUUUCUUAACAUUGACGGUGACAACAAUUGGGAUUUCUGGGGUGAGUUCUUCCGCUCCUGAUUCAAGCAAAGCUAAGAGUGCUGCUGCUUCGAUCUUCAGAAUCGUCGAUAGGAAAUCGAAGAUAGACACGAGAGAUGAAUCAGGGAUGGUGUUGGAGAACGUAAAGGGAGAUAUCGAGUUUUGUCACAUAAGCUUUGCUUACCAAACUAGACCUGAUAUUCAGAUUUUUCGUGACCUUUGUUUCUUCAUUCGUGCCGGAAAGGUAACAUUUUGUAUACAAAUUAUAAAACUUAUAAAUCUUAAGUGAUAUAUAUAGAGAAAAAGACUAGGAUAGCACUCAAGGCUCAAAGUCACAAAAAUAUGUUUCAUUAAAGAGGUAAAUAUACGCUUAUACCCAUUGGGUUAAUUAAUCCAAACCUUAGGGUUUAGAGUUAAGGGGUAGAGUUUUGGAAUUAGGGUUUAAAAUUUUAUAAAAAAUAAAUACUAAAAUAAAAAAUAAAAAAUUUAAAAAACAGAUUUAAAAAGUAUUUUUAAAUUCUAAAAAGAAAAUUUGAAAAAAAAAUAAAAAAAAAUUUCGAAAAAAAAAAAUUCAAAAAAAAAUAUAAAAAUUUCGAAUCUGAAAACAUAUAAUCUGAAACUAUUUUCAUUUUUUUUAUUUUUAUUUUAUAUAUUUUUAUUUAUUUUUGUUUAUUUAUUUAAUUUUAAACCAAGGGUAUUAGGGAUAUUUUACCCUUUAAUGAAUGUCAUUUUUGUGACUUUCUCCUUCUAGUGCCAUUUUUGAGACAUAAACUUCAAAAGAUGCUAUUAUUGACAAUUGCCCAUAUAUAUAUGUAGAAAAUGGACUAAUCUACCUAUAGUCAAUUUGUUUGAAAUAUAUCUGACUUAAUAUUAAACUGAUGCUUUUUUCAAACUUCACAUGUUUACUUUUCUAAUUCUUGUGCUUAUUUCAGACUGUUGCUUUGGUCGGAGAAAGUGGAUCAGGUAAGUCUACGGUGAUAUCGCUGUUACAGAGGUUUUACGAUCCGGAUUCGGGUCAUAUCACUUUAGACGGAGUUGAUCUCAAGAAGCUGCAACUGAAAUGGCUGAGACAACAAAUGGGUCUUGUAGGGCAAGAGCCUGUACUAUUCAACGACACAAUACGAGCCAACAUUGCUUAUGGAAAGGGAGGAGAAGAAGCAACCGAGGCUGAGAUCGUAGCUGCUUCCGAGCUCUCUAAUGCUCAUAAAUUCAUCUCUAGUAUACAAAAGGUGACUGAAACAAGACCUUUUGAUAUUUAUAUUAUUACUUGUGUUGCAAGUAAAAACUCUUUCAUGUUUGGUUUUAGGGUUACGAUACUGUGGUCGGUGAGAGAGGGAUACAGUUGUCAGGAGGACAGAAGCAACGCGUGGCGAUUGCACGUGCCAUCGUGAAAGAACCGAAGAUCUUAUUACUGGACGAAGCGACGAGCGCGUUGGACGCAGAAUCGGAGCGUGUGGUUCAGGACGCACUUGACCGGGUGAUGGUGAACCGAACCACGAUCGUGGUGGCUCACAGGCUGUCGACGAUCAAGAAUGCUGACAUCAUUGCCGUAGUGGAGAACGGUAUGAUCGUUGAGAAAGGGACGCACGAGACGUUGAUGAAUAUCGAAGGUGGUGUUUAUGCUUCCCUCGUUCAACCUCACAUGAGUGCUUUCUAAUUGAUACAAUCAUACAACACAGUAUUUUUCAUAUAAUAAACAAAAGAUAGAAAUUAAAGACACGAAUGUUUCGAACAAAAUGUUUUUUUUUUCUCCGAACAAAAUGUUUUGUAUGAAGAAUUUUUCAUUGUUUGUUUGGCUGAAGAAAAUAAAGAUUUUUGUAAGGAUUUGAAUCCACAUUCGUGCUUUAGAAUUACAAUGAAUCAAACGUAUCUUUCAUUCGAUACUACAAAAGAGUCUCACGAUAACUACUUAAUAAUCACGAGAGUAUAAUGAGCAAAAUACAACUCUUUAGUAUUUUCCUUGAUCUUUCUCUUUCUCGUUAUUGUCUUUGUAUUCAGAUGAUUAGAAAGCUUUAACCACCUCUUCUACUUAUAGUACUUAGAUUUUCUUAUUCUCAAUUGUGUGAACAAAAUUUUCAACCGACGUUUGAUCAGAAGAGUAAACUAGCUGAUUUGUUUUCUUUUGCUUUGACGCAUGAUUUCCUUAUUAGGCUGGACAUUGUGUAGGAAAUGAUGAGUUACGCGCCCAUAUUCACACAAUUUUUAUAUGGUCAAAUUUAUCCUAGCUAUUCUCAGUGAUAGAUCACAUAAACAAUUUAAAUUAAAAUCACUAGAUAAAAUACCAAAAUAUAGGCAUGAAACCGUACAACGAAUUAUAAUUUUUUUAGUCUCUUAAAAUUUUGUCAAACAUUUGAAGUAUAGGGGGCAUAAAGCAAUAUAGCAACAGGGGCAUAUCUUAAAUUUGUUAUAAAAUUAGACUAAUUUUAAAAUUUCUAUGGUUGGCAACUGCCCCACCCUGCCUAAUACAUAGUCUCAUAUCACACAAUAGACUAUAAAUUUCAGAUUAAACUAGGUGAAUAAUAAGAAAAAAGUAAAUGGUAGUAAAUUAAUAGACAAUUUUCUCAAAUAAGCAUUUUUAAGUUUUUAUCACAAAAAUAGCCCUCAAAAAAGAAAAUGAUCAAAAUAGCAUAUUUUUAUUUUGAAAUUUUUAAUAUUUAUUUUUUAAAAUUUGAAACUCUAUCACCAAAACCAUAUCCCUUAACUAAAUUAAUACAGUUGUAAAUUCUAGAAAAAAAUACGCUAGACCCAUGGUAGUUCAAUCUAUUCAGACAAGCAUUAAAAUCAUGUUUGACAUGUUCACUAAAUCAGUAAACCAAAUUUCUUUGCAUAUAGGUAUUUAACUCAUCAAAAUUAAUAUGCAAUUAAUAAUGCUUUCGCAUCUACUAUUUAUCCUAAGAUCUAGACUUCAAAUUGUCAAUCCAAAUCUAACAUUGAGAACAAUCAAGAUAAAGAAUAAAAGAUAAACCCUAAUACUUCAUUCUAACAAUUCAUUCGAUCCUUUGAAAACCCUAAGUCCAACUGGUGAUUUAUUCAAACAUGAUCAAUAAAACACAAAUCAUAUUCUGAGCACAUUUAUCCAGAACCGAAUAACGGGAAUCGAACCAAACCAAAAAAUUAGGGUUGAUUCGGAUUUAGGUCCUAUCAAUUAUUUGAUUGGGUCAUAUCAGUAAAACUAAAAUACCAAAAUCAAUGAGAAACUGAACCGAAAUCCAAAUGGGUACAUGAAUUUCUAUAAUAUAAUUUAUAUUCUUAUAAAUUUUAACUAUAUUCAGUUUUAAAAUAAAUGAAUAAGUUAAAAAUAUUAUUUAUAAGUCGAAAUACCUAAAAAUGAAUCAUCACAAUACUUUUUAUUCAAAAUUUUCAAAUAUUAUCUGAAUAAUCCAAAUUUUUACCAAAAACUCAAACGAAGUUAUAUUUAAUCAGAAAACCUAAAUUUCUGAUUUUUAAUCCGAAUUAACCGAAAAAUUGGAACCAAAUAGGAUCCGCAAUUACCUCAAAUAUUAGCAGGUUUCCAAUUUUGUUACCCGAACGGUAAUAACCUAAACGGAACCAAAAUUUUAAAAUACCUGGAUAGAUGCUAAACUUCUAGAACUGAAGAAUCAAAGAAUCGAAAAAAACGAACCAAUGCCCAUGGCUAGUUAUUGGUAUCAUGCGCUCACUAUGUGCCUGGAUUUAUAUUUUUUUGCAGCGAAAUAAUAAACGUAAGUAGUUGAUAUAUAUAUAUAUAUAUAUAUUAACCCAAAAAAAAGCAAAAAAAAAACUCAAUAAACCAAAAGCUCAAAAACCCAGCAUGAAUUCUGAAAAUCACUAGAUAUUUUGUUCUUAGAGAAGUUAGCUUAAGUCUUCCUUCUUCUUAAUCUCCUAGAUUCAAUGCUUAUACACACAAAUGGAUCAUCCACGCAUUAGAUCAAUGUCCAUAUGGGCAUGAUGCAUGUCCAUUGACCUUGAACCUGUUGACCACAUCCCUACAGGCGUCUGAACAAGGUUAUGGCUUUGCUGAGGAACAUCAGGCGACGUUGCUGCUGUGUUAUCGUCCAAAGCGUCAGUUUCUUGGACAUCUUCAUCUCGUUUUUUAAUCUUCCCUUUAGGAAUAGCCCAAAUGUAGCUCCCAAUGAUAACCUAUUAAGGAGACAACACACAAGUUUAGAUAAAAAUGAUGUCUAAAUUAAAGAAGUUUGAUGAUGUUUACAAGCAUGCUCACCUGAACUGAGCUUGCUGCUAUUAGAGGCCCUCCAACUCCACCACCAAUGACACGAUAAUCGGGGCAAGCGAGUGAGACCGCUAGAUUCACAGUGCUGUUUGGGUAGUCAUUGUCAGUUGCGUUCGGAUAAGAAGUUGAGAGAGACAAAAGCUCAAAACGACCCUAUGGACCAUAGAGUAAACACAACAACAUGAGUAGUGUUCUUCUCUUGUAAAUCAUUAUAAACUGUAAGGACAGCAAUAUCAAACCUCGUAUUUAAUAGCUCCGUGUGAUAGCGAUCGUUGAAGAAUAGUUGCAGUAGAGACUGCACCAGUAACGGAUAAAACACAAAUGGCUCUUGGACUUUGCUGUGAAAAGGACAUAACCUUUGAUGCAAUGUCCUGACAAACAAGACAAGAGUGUGGAUUAUAAACUAAUCUCAAGAACCCUUAAAAGAGGACACUAGCUAGAGAAGAAGACUAUACUUCACCAACGGAAACUACGAUUACGUGCGGCGUGAAGCUCGUCCCCCACGGCAUCACUCCACCUUAGAAGUCACAACAUCAGGACACAAAGUUAGUAAACAUAGCUUUAAGAGAAAAGCCCUUAGAAUAAAAGAUUAUUCAAAAUAAUAAAACUCUACAUUAAAAAAUUCUAAAGCUUUAUUUAGUAAUAACUUCCCAACAGUUUUUUCCAAACCAAUCUCCUCAUAAACUAUAUAGUAUAUAUAAGUCAAUAUAACCUCAUUCCACCAUUUACAGAGCCUUUCACAUAUAAUUGCAAGAAGAGGGGUUUAUUACCAGUCGAACUAAGCCUUUGCUUCUUGCCGGAACCAGGAGGUCUUCCACGGCCACGUUUGUUAGAGUUUGGGGACAUGGAGGAGGAGAGUGAAGGAGACAAUGCCAAGGAAACAGAACCGUCUUGUCCGUAUUUUCUCGGUCUUCCUCUCUUCCGCUUCACAAACGUCUCACCAGACGGAGGAAGUGCAACCGGCGUUAAAGAAUCAACCUGAGAAGUCUCAACUGGUAAAGGAGGAUACACGAAUCCAGUUGAGCCGAAAGGAGAGCUGGGAUUGGAGAAUUGUUGAAACCCUUGCGAUCCAUAAAACGACGGUUGAGUUUGUGGAGGAGCAGAACCAGGCAUGCCUCUCUGGAUGUAAUAAUAACCCGACCCGGAUAAAGCCAUUGCUUCUCUUUGAUCCAUUGCUUCUGCCAAAAGGAUGCAAAACUCGCUGGGUGACCUGACCUUAUAAAGGUUUCGAAUUUUAUGGGCUAAUUGGCUACAAAAGGGGAAGGGAAAAGAUUUUAUUCUUAUCAAAAGAUAACAACAAAAAGCAGAAUCUAAAGAGGCUUUUAAAGAUAUUAUGACUUGGAGGUUAAGUUAACCAUGCAACUGAAAAAUCUCUCAAGGCUUAUCAACAACACACACGAGCUUCUACUUAACCUAAUAGGUUUAAUAGAAAAGAGAAACAGCUCAACUGAAAUCUACUUUUUAUUCUCUCAACAGAAACAAGAUAUACGAUAUGAAGUUUUCUUCUCCAUCAACAAUGGUGAAGAAAGGGUUUACUUUCUCUCUCUCUCUAGUUCUUCUUUUGCUUUACUGAGUGAUAGAGGAAACAAAAGAAAACAAAAAUACCACUGUAUCAUUCAGGUCCUUCUCCUCUAAAGAGUUAAAAGCAUUUACUGUGGAUACACAUAGUUUUGAUAUCUGACUUUGACCAUAAGCUCUCUCUCUAGACUUCAUCCUAGCAUCUAGUAAUUUAUAGGUGUGUGGCUUAUUCCAACGCUAUUGAUUGAGGCGCGUGCGUCAACCGUCAUGAUAGUUGGGAGAGUGAGAGAAUGUGAUGUAAUCUACUCAAAGACUUUGUUACUCUCUGGAUACACUGUUAUUGAUGAUAAACACUGGCAAAGCUUUCAAAUUUAUCAAAACUCUGUUUCUUUUCUCUCUCAAAGGAUCUAAUGUUUAGAUUCCAGCCAUAUAUACACUUGAGAAUGUAGCUUUACAUUCAGUAAAGAGAAAGAACUAAAACUAGUUUUGUGUAUAAAUUAAGCAAUUAUUGUUCCUAUUGAUACUCUAAUCUGCAAAUGUUUCUCUAUAAACAAGCCAUUGAUAAAAAUUUAGACCUAAUAAUCUAUCAAACUAUACCGAAUCUGAACAAUCAACAUAGGUCCUUCAACCGAAUUUCCAGAUAAGAACAAAAUUGAUUCCAAAAUCUUGAGCUAUAAACAUUAAGAUAGAAGAGCCAAUGCAUUAGCUUUCUAACAUUAAUAUAACAGGGAAUUAAUGAUGUAAUGUGGUUUUUGAGCAAUUAGAAAACUAGUGUGCUUUAUUACUUGUCAAGUGCUCCAUUGUUUGAGCAGCUUGUAGUAGUUGGAGUUUAAUUUUUUUAUUCAGUGUUUUCAUCCCAACUGCAAAAUCCACAUUUCUUUUUCCUCUACCGUCAACCUUGAUGACACAAAAUCAAAUAGACCCUAGAUCAAGAAACAAAUAUCUUCAUAUAGAUAUAGGACUUGUUUGCAUGUUGCAGUGACCUACGACCAGCUACUGCAACGUGCAACAUGCAAUUAAAUGUUGUUUAUUUCGGUGUUGAAAGUACCUUGCAAUCUGCUAGCUGCGAUCAGUUGCAAGUUGUAAAUAUUUUUUAGUCACUAAUUUUUUUUCAGCGACUUAAUAUUGUGACUUCAGAGUGCAAUAUCAAACGAACAACAACAUAUUGUGACUUCUGAGUGCAAUAUCAAACGAACAACAACACGUGGUUUGCAACAUACAAUUGAUCGCGCGAUCAAUCUUGUGACAGCAAAAUGAAUAACAACCUGCUAGAUACACCGACCGCAGGUGACAUACAAACUAAGAGGCCCAUGGUGUACCAAUUCUAGUCAGGUUCAUUCCCUCAAACCGACACCGUUUCUGAUAAACCUUUAUGGACCGAAUAUGCAGCAUGGUCAAGCCCGGCUUGUGAAACCAAGGCCCAAUAGAAGACGAAUACGGCGUCGUGUUGAAACGGAACGUAAACAUCCCCUAUAACUAUAAGCAACCGUUUCCAAAACGACAUCGUCGCGGUUGCUUAGAAGAAGCGAUCUUUCUCUCUGUCCUCUCCUCCUUCCUUCUCCGAGAAGCUCGCAAUCAUCAAACUUCUGGCGAUUCCUUAAUCACGCUUACCUUAGUGACGAUCUGAGAUAUCUAAGUCUACUCGUCAAGCUCCGAAAAUUCGGCAGGUAUUGUAUCUAAAUCUAAUGCUUCAAAAAUUUCCGAGAUUGUAGAUCUGAUUGUACUAGUCGUAGUCGAUUUGAUGCAAUUGCUGAAGGAUUUGAUCUGUAGACUCUUGAGAGCUAAACAAUUUGAUUUGCUUAAUCUACAAUUGAAUCGAAACAGUUUGAGCAACUGUUUAUUGUUUUGGCCAUGAAUAGAGUUUUGUAGAAUCUCAUUGAUUCACAAUGGAGAGUAUAGUACAUGAGAGCACAAACGAAUGUGCGGAUCAAUCGAAAGAGACGCAAACGUUGCUUAUAAGCGGAGUCCCUAACGAUAUCUCGAAUCUCUUCUUAGCUAGAGUUCCAAGAUCACACCACAUGGCGAUGAAAUGCGUUUCCAGGAGAUGGAGAGAUUUCAUCUCCAGCGACGACUUCUGCGAGUAUCGCAACAAGUUUAAUGAUGUUAAGAGUUUUCAAGGCUCCUAAGACAAAUGUUGUAGUAUAAAUGAUUGUCGAACCAGUUCUGAGGGAUAUCAAAGCACUGAGAAUGCAAGUACUCACUUAAUCUAAGUGCAACCAAUGAUUUAGAUGGGUUUUAAAUUACUACUAAACUAGAAAGCAAAUAACAGAAUGAUACUUUCUUGACUAAGGGAAAAGAGAACUCAUGGGCAUAGGGAUUAGACCUUGGGUGAUCAAGUAUCGAACUAAGGAUGGCAAAUGAUCAAUCAAACUAUCAACCUUAAGCCUAGACACAAUUCUAAGCAAGCUCUAUGUCUAGAUGAAUGCUCAUUUGCUAACAUAUCUCAAACAUCAAAUGUCUUUGGUUGAAUAAUAUGAAAGCAAUCAUUACUAACAAGUCUAUUAGCUAUCUUAGCAUCUUUAACAACAAAUGUCUUUGGCAAAGUAUACUAAGAGCCUAGGAGAGUUGUCUCAGGCAUUUCAUCAAACACCUUUUGGGUGGGAAAUGUCUAUUGAUCAACUUUUGAGUGGCCAACUCAGAAGAUGCAUUAUGAAUACUCUACUAGCAAGGAACAAGAAUGAUCUACACUAAAACAUCCUAGAACUAACCUAAUCACCCUUAAUCUCCCUAACCCAUGAAUUCAAAAGGUGAUUACUCACUAAUCUCCAUGAUUCCUCUUAAACCCAUAUUGGAUUUCAGAUUAAUCAUGUAGAGAAACACAGGAAAUAGAUAAGAACACAGAAUUCUCAAUAAUAAACUGAUCAAUUCAUUCAAAAAGAUCCCUUUCCAAAGGUUUUUGGUGGUUUUUCUAAGAACAAAAAUGAUGUGCCUCCUGGUGGCUUACAGAGUAAUAAAACAUAGGUUUAGAAAAUAAAAACGUGCAUAAUGAAAUGACCAAAAUGCCCUUGAGAAAUCACAAGUUCGAGCAGAAACAAAACACGGAGCGACCUCAGCCCGUCGCUCCGACAAGUCGCUCCAGGCUUCGGGAGCGACCUCGCUGUGUCGCUGCGAGAGGUCGCUCCGGGCUCGUUCUCGCGUCUCCGGGUGAUGAAAACGCGAGCGACUUCUCCCUGUCGCUCUGGUAUGGUCGCUCUGAGCUUCGGGAGCGACUUCAGCACGUCGCUCUGGAAGGUCGCUCCGAGGUGUAAAUGUGUGUCUCCAGACGUGAAAACGCGAGCGACCUUGUGCAGUCGCUCUGGAUGAGUCGCUCCGGGAUGUGGUGCACAGCGACCUCAUGCCGUCGCUCCGAGAGGUCGCUCCGGCUGUGCUCGUCCAAAGAUCACUCUUUUCACCUCUUUUGAGCUCCAAAUAACCUUAUGUGGUACUCCAGUACCUAAUAGAGACUCAUGUAUGCAAAAUGCAACCUAAACAUGUCUGAAUCCUAAUCUAUAUGAUGAAAAUGCUCAUGGAUGAAUGGAUAAAACAAUGCAAAUAUGCAAGAUAUCAACUCCCCCAAACUUGUUCUUUUACUUGUCCACAAGUGAACUUUCUAGAACUCAUAGGAAGAGAGGUUGAAGGUGGGAGCACAUAGCCAAAAGAAACACAACUAGCACACUCUCUUAUUACACUCUAGCUUCUCUAGGCCUAUCUUAACUCUUUUUGUUCUUACACUCAUCAUCAAGCAUCCACACAUUCAAAUCAACCAACUCUCACAUUCAUUAAGCACAAAACAUCAGGUGAAUUCUUGCAAAUGGUCAGUUGGUCCAAGUCAUUUGGUUGGGUAAGGGAAGGCUUUUAUUCAAGUGAUUCAAGAGGUUCAAAACAUAUGAUCUUUAAGGUGGUUUACUCUCAAAACAAGUAGCCUUGACAUUGCACAUAAUAUAUCUAAGAAAGGGACCAACUCAUGCAUACAAUGCUCAAUCUCCAUUGUUCUACCCUUUUCCCAAACAUAUCAUUACACAAUCAUUCCCAAAUGUCAAACCCAACUCACAUCUCUCACCAAAAGAUCUUAAGAACUUUAACUCUUUCUUUUUGAAAUCUACAAGGGAUUUUUCUACAACCUCAAAACAUUUCUUAGCUCCUAACAACUUUGCUAGCCCCAUUUUCUUUCUUUUUUUUUUUUUUUUUCGAUUUCUUUUUUUUUUAUAUAUUUUUUUUUUUUUAGGUUGGGGGCCAAGACUUUUCAAAACUAGAGCUAGAGGUUCUCUACUUAUCCCAGAAAAUCAAUUCACUUAAGCACAAAGAGUCUAUCCUUUUUAUUUUUCAUUUCUCCCAAAUCAUGAUCACAACACUCACCCUCCCACCUAUAGCUAGACAAAAGAGUGUCCAAUCUAGCAAAAAUGAAGAUCAAGCAUUGUCGUUCCCGAUACUCUCAACAUUAUGCGCAUGUAAGACUUUCCGAAGAAGGCCUCACUCAUCAAACAAUGAAAGCUUAAAAGGAAGGAAAGGUUUUGGGAGUGGUCUACCACUAGAGUUUGUCAAAAAGAUUGGCAUAAAAGAUGUGACAACUCCAGUGUGUAUAGCCAUGACUCAGUACACAAGGGACCCUAAGCAAGAAGCAUUAAGUUCAUUCAUUUCUAAUAAGGUUGUAGUUGGCUUCAAAGACUGAGUUUCAGCAAUCAACAAGUUUCAGGAAGAGUUUUCAAGGCUCGAAACAUACAAGUCUUUUUGAGAGGUGCAAAAGCUAGUCAAGUGCAACGUAGUGUUCUUUACAAGGCAUUCAAAUCAUUGCUCCCAAUGCAAGUGAAUGCAACCUAUAUGCUCUAGACUCUCCUAAAAAUGCAAAUGAUGCAAACUAAAUGAUUGAUUUUUUUUUUUUUAUCUAUGCAAAUAGGUAUGCCAUGCAUGACUCAAUGAAACAACAUCAAAGCAAACAUGAUCAAAUACUUGGUACCUCCCCCAAACUUGAGUGACACAGUCUCUGUGUCGUCAAGUAGAGAGAGAGAUACCGAAAAGAAGACUAAUAUGCAAAAAUGAAAUGGUAUAUACAAGGGAGUGUGGUGGGUUACCUUCUAUAGGGAAUGAGUAGAGGGAGAUGCUCCCUCCUCGUCGUCCUCAGGUGGUAACUCUUCAAGGUGCUCAUCAGCAGGGGUGUCCAUCUCUUCAAUGUAGAAGGCUUGCCCGAACACAGUUGGUUUCCUCAUUUUCCUCUUGAUGUCAAAGUGGAGGAUGUUCUCUUUACCCAAAUGGAGAUCAAUCGUGCCUUCCUUCACAUUAACAAUAGCUCCUGCUGUAGCUAAGAAUGGCCUUCCUAGAAUCAAUGGAUCUUGAGCCUCCUCACCCAUCUCAAGCACCACAAAAUCUGUAGGUAUCUCAUACCUUCCAAUCUUCACAGGAAGGUCCUCUAAGAUGCCCACAGGGUACUUCACUGAACGAUCAGCUAACACCAGAGAGAGUCUACACUUCUUGUACUGAGUGAAUCCAAGCUUCUUUGCAACAGACAAAGGCAUCAAGCUGACACUAGCUCCCAAAUCGCAGAGACUUUUCUCAAAUACCAUAGGUCCAAGAGCACAAGGUAGUGUGAAGCUUCCUGGAUCCUCUAAUUUCUCUGGAACAUCAAGCCUCUGGAUGAUGGCAUUGCACUCAUGGGUAAGAUUCAUCAUGCUUUCCAUCUCCUUCUUCUUUGCAGCUACAACAUCUUUCAGGAAAUUGUUGUAUUGAGGAAUCAACAUGAAAGCAUCGAUGAUGGGCAUUGCAACCUGAGCUUCACUCAUUUGCUUCUCAAACAGAGCUUUGUAUUUCUCUAGCAGCUGCUUCUUGAAUCUACCAGGGAAUGGAAGUUUGGGUUCAUAGGGAGGAGGAACAAAAGAACUUUCACUUGCUGGAGUAACAACUUCACCAUCCUUUACUGUCUUCUUCUCCUCUCCAACCUUUCCUUUACCUUUGGCUUCCACUAUCUUCUCCAAGAUCUCGUCAUUGAUCUUCUCAUCAACAAUCACCACUUCAUCAUCUAUGUUGAUGGCAACCCCCUCACCUAAUUUCUCAGCAUCCUUGGUGAGGGUUCUAGGAGGUAACUGCUUACCGCUCCUAAGGGUGAUAGCUUUGGCCUCCUUGGGAUUUUGGUCAGACUUUCCAGGUAGAGAUCCUUGCUGGCGAUUCUGGUGAGUGUUCAUGGAAGCAAAUUGAUUCUCUAAAUUCCUGACUGUAGAAGCAAGGUGUGAGAAUUUGUUGUUGAGCUCAUUGUAGCUCCCAUCAAUCUUGGAAUGAAGGUUCUUCAACUCAUAACCAACUUGCUUCUCACUUCUAGUCUGAGACUCCAAGAUUUGCUUCAGUAAGGUAUCAGUGCUGCUCUCUUGAGGAGCAGAGGAACCAGACGAGGGGUUUUGCUGAGGCUGAUAGCUGCCUUGUUGGUUGUUUCUUGGCGGAUAGCCACUCUGCUGGUUGUUGGAAUAGGACUUCUGUUGGUAGUUAUUGUACUGAAAGUUGGGUUCUUUCUUGUACCAGCUACCAUUGUUGUUGAUGAAACACAGCUCUUCCUGACCUUCCAAACCCUCAACUUCAUGGACAAUAGCUGGUGUCUCUUGGCUUGGGUUGCCGACAAAGUGCAGCUGCUCUUGGGUAGCUUUAUCAGCAAGGAGGAUGUCUAUCUUAUCCUGUAGAGCUUUCAACUCCUUCCUCGUUUGCUUAUCCUCAGUUCUACUGCUUCUGUCGUGGUCUCCACUGUAGACUGCAUCACUCUUUACCAUGUUGUCAACCAGUUCUUCUGCAUCCUCCUCAGUUCUCCCCAAGAAGAACCCAUUGCUAGCUGUAUCCAGUCUGGCUCUGUACUUAGGAAGAGCACCACGGUAGAAUGUGCUUAGCAAGCUCUCCUUAGAAAAGCCAUGGUGUGGGCAUUGAGCUUGGUAGCCCUUGAAUCUCUCCCAGGCUUCACUGAAGCCUUCCAAGUUCUUCUGUUGAAAGCUGGAAAUCUCGUUUCUCAGCUUAGCAGUUCUUGAAGUAGAGAAGAACUUCUCCAAGAAUGCUUUCUUGCAGUCAUCCCAAGUAGUGAUGGAGUCACUGGGUAGAGACUUCUCCCACUGACGUGCCUUAUCCCCCAAAGAGAAAGGGAAUAGCUUGAGCUUUAAGGCAUCUUCGGACACACCAUUGGUUUUUGACAACCCACAGUAGCUGUCGAACCUGUCCAAGUGAUCAAAUGGAUCCUCUAGAGCCAACCAUGAUACUUGUUGUUCUCGAUCACGUUGAGGAGUCCUGAUUUGAUCUCAAAGUUGUUGGCUGCCACAGCGGGUGCUCGGAUUCCCAAUCUAUGACCAUGAAUGUUGGGGCGGUCGUAAGUGCCAAUGGGUCGAGCUGCUCGCUGUUGGUUUUGAGGUAUGUCUCCCAUAUCAGUACUCAAUCUCUGCAAGUGAGCCUGUUGCUCUUCUUCUCUUCUAUUUCUAGCACACUCUCUCUCUAAAGCUCUGAUGUCUGCAGCUAUUGGAACUAGGUUUGAUGGACCCCUGCUCCUCAAGUUCAUACACCUGUAGAUUAAAGGGAGGUGAAGAAAGAGAAUCAGUAACAAAAGAAAAUAAAAAUGACUUAGUCUCAAGCAAGUGACUAAAUCUCAAUGUUCAAAUCUACUCAGAAUUUGGCAACGGCGCCAAUUUGAUGUUAAGAGUUUUCAAGGCUCCUAAGACAAAUGUUGUAGUAUAAAUGAUUGUCGAACCAGUUCUGAGGGAUAUCAAAGCACUGAGAAUGCAAGUACUCACUUAAUCUAAGUGCAACCAAUGAUUUAGAUGGGUUUUAAAUUACUACUAAACUAGAAAGCAAAUAACAGAAUGAUACUUUCUUGACUAAGGGAAAAGAGAACUCAUGGGCAUAGGGAUUAGACCUUGGGUGAUCAAGUAUCGAACUAAGGAUGGCAAAUGAUCAAUCAAACUAUCAACCUUAAGCCUAGACACAAUUCUAAGCAAGCUCUAUGUCUAGAUGAAUGCUCAUUUGCUAACAUAUCUCAAACAUCAAAUGUCUUUGGUUGAAUAAUAUGAAAGCAAUCAUUACUAACAAGUCUAUUAGCUAUCUUAGCAUCUUUAACAACAAAUGUUUUUGGCAAAGUAUACUAAGAGCCUAGGAGAGUUGUCUCAGGCAUUUCAUCAAACACCUUUUGGGUGGGAAAUGUCUAUUGAUCAACUUUUGAGUGGCCAACUCAGAAGAUGCAUUAUGAAUACUCUACUAGCAAGGAACAAGAAUGAUCUACACUAAAACAUCCUAGAACUAACCUAAUCACCCUUAAUCUCCCUAACCCAUGAAUUCAAAAGGUGAUUACUCACUAAUCUCCAUGAUUCCUCUUAAACCCAUAUUGGAUUUCAGAUUAAUCAUGUAGAGAAACACAGGAAAUAGAUAAGAACACAGAAUUCUCAAUAAUAAACUGAUCAAUUCAUUCAAAAAGAUCCCUUUCCAAAGGUUUUUGGUGGUUUUUCUAAGAACAAAAAUGAUGUGCCUCCUGGUGGCUUACAGAGUAAUAAAACAUAGGUUUAGAAAAUAAAAACGUGCAUAAUGAAAUGACCAAAAUGCCCUUGAGAAAUCACAAGUUCGAGCAGAAACAAAACACGGAGCGACCUCAGCCCGUCGCUCCGACAAGUCGCUCCAGGCUUCGGGAGCGACCUCGCUGUGUCGCUGCGAGAGGUCGCUCCGGGCUCGUUCUCGCGUCUCCGGGUGAUGAAAACGCGAGCGACUUCUCCCUGUCGCUCUGGUAUGGUCGCUCUGAGCUUCGGGAGCGACUUCAGCACGUCGCUCUGGAAGGUCGCUCCGAGGUGUAAAUGUGUGUCUCCAGACGUGAAAACGCGAGCGACCUUGUGCAGUCGCUCUGGAUGAGUCGCUCCGGGAUGUGGUGCACAGCGACCUCAUGCCGUCGCUCCGAGAGGUCGCUCCGGCUGUGCUCGUCCAAAGAUCACUCUUUUCACCUCUUUUGAGCUCCAAAUAACCUUAUGUGGUACUCCAGUACCUAAUAGAGACUCAUGUAUGCAAAAUGCAACCUAAACAUGUCUGAAUCCUAAUCUAUAUGAUGAAAAUGCUCAUGGAUGAAUGGAUAAAACAAUGCAAAUAUGCAAGAUAUCAUUUAACUUAGCCGAGUCUUGGAUCUACGCCUUGUGCCGCCACAACACGUGUGGCCGUGUCUUCUUACACGUGCUGAAUCCUUCUAGAAGAGGAUGGAGAAGAGUCCAUGAGAUUCCUCUGCAUAUCACUUUUAGAGACGGUAUGGGUUUUGCAGUGUUGGGUAAGAGACUGUUUGUGUUGGGUGGAUGUGGUUGGGUAGAGGAUGCUAGUGAUGAUGUUUAUUGCUAUGAUGCUGCUAUUAACACUUGGCUUCACUUGCAACCUUCUCUUUCAACUAAAAGGUUAGGGGUCUUGAUACUUGCCAUUUUAGCAAAUAGUUUGGUGUUUGAUCUUCUGAUUGCGUUUUGCAGAUGCUUCUUUGCUUGUGAGACGUUGGAUGGGAAGAUUAUGGCGAUUGGUGGGUUAGGAGUGAAUUCGAAAGCUCCACAGACUUGGGACAUCUACGAUCCUGUAACGAAAGCUUGUGUAUCCUUCUCAGACGCGAAUAUUAUCCGUGAUAUUGAAGAUUCAUUUGUAAUGGAUGGGAAGGUUUAUGUUCGCGGUGGUGUUGGAGCUGUAGUAUAUGAUGGACUGAGCGGAGUUUGGAAGCGCGUGGAGGAUGAUAUGGCAUCAGGGUGGCUAGGUCCAGCAGUUGUUGUAGGAGAUGAUCUCUAUGUUUUGGAUCAGAGUUUUGGAGCUGCGCUGACAAUGUGGUGCAAGGAAACGAGAGUGUGGAUUCGUAUCGGGAAGCUAUCUCAGUUGGUGAUGACGCAGCAAUGUCGGCUUGUUGCUAUUGGAAGUAAUAUAUUUGUGAUUGGUAAGGAUUGCUCUACUGUGGUGAUUGAUGUUGAGAAUGUGAGGAAGAAGACGAUGAAUGGAGUAAUGGUGUGUUCUUCUAUACCCAAGACUUGGGAUGAUACCAUUGAUGUUAUUUGCUGUAAAUCUAUAGCUAUAUAAUGUUUGAUGAUCGUUGCAAACUGUUCAUGUUGCUCAUGUAAAAUCACAAGCCUGUGUGAAAUCAGGUGAUACUAAUCACAAAACCAAAUCUCAAAAGCCUUGUUCUUGAUUGAUCAAUGUAGCAGCCAGCUCCUUCAUCCACUAAGUUUGAUCUUUUAACAAAGUCUAUUGAAAAUACUGUUGUUGUCAAUGUUCGAAAACUGAACUACUAAUCUCUCAAUGUGGUUGGUUUGCAGACAAGAACCCACUACUCUAAAGUUACCUUCUAAAUUAGUUGUGUUCCAGGAGGCGGUAAAAAGCUUACUCAUGAGUUCCUUUAGUUUCUCCAAAUCGCCUUUGCUUGAUAAGGAGGUCUCUCUAACAUUCUAAAUACUGGUUUGACCACGCACCUUCCUCUCUCCACUGUCUGCCUCGAGCACUCAAAUGCAUCAUCAGCCUUUCUUCUUGCACACAGUACAGUGGUAAGGAUGUACAUGUACAUGAGUCAAUGAGGUGGCAAGUACCACCAUAAAAUUUUCAAUUUUUUAAAAUAAUAUAUACAAACUUUAGUUAUUUCCUUUCCUUUUACUAAAUAUCAGAUUCUAACUAUAAAUUUUAUGUUUAUACUCAGUGGCGGAGCCACAUGUAAUGAGAUGGGGCCACUGAACCCAACAACAUUUGAAAAUUUAGUGUAAUUUAUUAAAGCCUAAGCUAUAUGCACCUAUUCUAAAUAUUGUAGUUUAGUAUUCAUGCCCCCAACAAAAUUAUUUCUUGCCUCCCCAACAAAAUUAUUUCUUGCCUCCGCCACUCUUUAUACUAGAUUAUGACCCUUCCUUUCAAAAGACAGAUAUAUUUUUUAUUUUAAUUAUUUUUUUAAAUUUAAUUUCCAUAUUUGUUUUUUUUCUUUGUAACCAUAUAUGUGUAUAAAUCUUAAUCAAAAUCUAUUUUACAAAAUAAUAGCAAUUUAAAAGUUGAUUCGGUAUAUGUUUGGUUUUUUGUAAUCAUAUGUCCAUAUACCCGUUUCUUUGUAAUCAUAUUUACAUGUUCUAGGUCUUGAUCUGCCGGUAUAAUAUUGGUUUGUAAUUUUUUGUUUUUUAUGUUUCUAUAAACAUGUAACAUUUUUAUGUAAUUUUUUCUUAAAUGUUAAAGAAAUUUAAUUUAUAUACAGUUAUAUAAGGUAUGGUUAUCCUAACGUAAAUGUUAGGGUAUAUUUAUAAAAAAAAACGUAGUGUUAUAUAACAUAUAUUAAGAUAGGGUUGUUUUUUUAACUUGUUGAUAGCCACCUUAACGUAAUGAUUAUUGUUUAAAUAAAAUUAGAUAUAUUUAUAAAUAAGAGAAUAAUUAUAUAUAAUAUUUAUCGAUAGAUCAUGAUCUUAUUUUAAUAGAACAUAUAUGAUUUCCCCCUUUCCCCACCCGCCACCCUCCAAUUACAAAUUAAUUCUACAUUCAUCACUGAGGGCAAUACCCUUUAUCCAACAUAUACUCCCACAAGUCUAGUCCUAGUCUCGUAGAUUAACUUCACCGUUCUGACAGAACAGCUUCAUCAGCAUCGCCACGGUUCGUGUAUUUCGGAACCAAAGACAUUCCCUUCAUUUCGUGGUAUAGCUCACAUAUGACAUACCCCGUCAAUUCCUUUCUCUUUUUUUUUUUAAAGAAAUAAAAAUUCCUUUCUCGUGCUGGACUUUAUUUAUGAUAUGACUUUUACGUAAACUACAACCGGCAGAAAAUGCAAACAAGACAACGAUGCUUAUCUUUAUUUAGACCAUUCACCAUGUACUCAUUUAAUUAAAGUUUUUUUUUUGGGGCUAAAAAUGGAGUACACCGGUCCAUAUUUAACGUUGAACGAAACAAUUGUAUUCACUAUACUUUUUUUUUUCUUUUUCUUUUGGGUAAAAUGUUAAAUUAUUCACUAUACUAUUACCUUAUAUUAAAAUAAAAAGUAUAAAACUAACUGUUGGAUCAUACUUGAAUACAUAACAGUUGGAAUAACAACUCAUUUAAUUAAAGUUUGUUUGCUUAAAUGCAUGGAAUAUAUUUAUAUAGUUUUAUUUUGUUGUUCUAUGCCGUGGCUGAGGGAGAGUAUUAUGAAAUUCAGAGUCGUCUUAUUUGACUUAUCUUUCGAUAAGUGUAAGCUUAUAAUUUCAUUGGAAAAUUGUGAAAUACUCAAGUUGAGAUACCCUUAAUAGUGAUGGUCUUUAGAGCAAAAAUUUCAAGUCAAAAAUUGAAAUAAAACCGAAGCGACUAACUUUACAUUCAAAAGAUGCGGGACGAAAAUUACCAUCACAAAGCUAAAAUCACAAAGUUCGUGGAUUAUAAAUUAGAUCUCAUAAAUCUAUAACGCCUCUUCUCAAUAUAAGAUUUGUGUGAACACAGUAAAGUCCCUAUGAUUUGAUAUUAUGAAAUAACUACUUUUAAGAAUUUUCUCCAACCUCUCUCUGAAAAGCUUCGACAUCUUCUUCCGUUCAAAUAUCUCCAUUUAUGUUUUCAUAUUAUCUCCGUCUUGUGGGCUCAUGAUUCCGGGGAUGUUUGUCUACUUCGCCGGCAUGUUAUUCCAAAAUUACUUGUAAUUGUCGGCCUAGUUUGUAACAAUGGUGUUGAAGUUAAUAUAAUGAUCUUUAGUGUGUAAUGAAAAGGAAAAACUACUUUUAACUUCUAAGUGUAUAUAUCUGUUUAAAAAUCUGUGUUUGACCACAAUUUUAAAAAGUCCAAGGAAACAAUUAUUUAAUUUCAUUUGAAAAGGAUAACUUCAGUUAUUACACUCUACUACACAUAAAU